UGAUUCUGAUGGACGAUGUGGUUUGAGGACCACUGACCCAGAGAAUGAUGUGCCACUCCCCCAUCUGCUCCUCACUCUCGCCUCGCUCACCAGAUACGGAGCAACACCAGGGACCCCACCAAGAGCUCUCCUCUGGGCGUCUGCGCCCUCUCCAAGACCGCCCGCCCGCCCAGGCUCUCCGGCUGCGCUCAGACGGCUCCGCGCUCCGCCUCAGGCAUCUGCUCCGCCCGCUCCGGUCCGUUCCCGACCCGGCGGAAGGCUGUGAACCAGAGAAUUAAUUCUUCCGGCAGGCUUUUCCAGGAGCGGCGGGGCGGGGCCUGGCGGCAGAACGGCCACGUGCGUCAGGGGGAAGCCGGAAGUGGCUGCGGGAGUGGAGCCGUGGGAGCGAGCCGAGCGGGGGCUGAUGGGAGUGGAGUGGGGGCUGCAGAGGGCACCCCGCUAUAUCCAUCAUGCUGCAAGGCCACAGCACUGUGUUCCAGGCCUUGCGGGGGACCUUCUUCACCUGGGGGAUGACGGCAGCUGGGGCAGCCCUCGUGUUCGUAUUCUCUAGUGGACAGAGGCGGAUCUUGGAUGGACGCCUUGGUUUUGCCGCAGGGGUGUGCUUUCCACUGAAGGCUCUAAAGGCACAUAUAAUUCUGACACAGGAUUCUCCUGACUACUCAGGUCUCUUGAAGGCUUUCACCGAGCUUGAUCUCAUGUGUUCUGUGGGCCAUGCGAGAGUGAAUUUCGUGAAAGGGGUACGCAUUUCCAGAAUUCUUUCCAAUUCACGAGACUUCGUGAGGAUGUUCUCCAGUACUGUGAGUGACACAUGCGUCUGUCCCAAGUCCCUGAAGAAGAAAGCCAGACAGAAAUGAGGAAGCCCAAUGCCAAAAAUCCGUGCUUCAACAGGUAUUUGAAGGAUAUCUUAUUAUUGCACUUUUGCCUCCCAGUGAAACAAGCCAGCACAUAAGUUUAUCAUGAACUAUAAUCCCAGAGAAGUCUUCAUGCAAAAAUUCAAAUUUAAUGUUUUCAUCAUCAAAUGAAUGACCUUGGCAUUGCAUAGUAGAUGCUGCAUCUGUGUUUCAGUCACCAUCAUACUUCACAUUUUUAUAUUGCAUUCACAUCUCUCACUGUGUUGUUCUUUUUAGUAACAAGGCCACUACGUUUCCUGGGGUAAUGGUGUUCCUGCAUCCACUGAUGUGAUCCGUGUCUACCGUGUUCCUCAGUGGUGCUCCCGAUCCCUGCUGACUCUCUUGCCCAUUAUACAUCUUAAUCCUUCUCUUUGUGAAUAACCUGAUUAAAAUUAAACUUAUGACCUGUAGGAUCAAAGUACAAUACUGUACCAUUCUUGGAAGGAAGCAAGAAGAGCCAAAGUCAUAUUAUGACUUAAAGGUUAUGGCAAUACUUACAGAUAAUUUAAUGCUUUUAAUGUAAAAAGUGAUGGAUCUUCGAUAGUUGUCAGAGGAUUAUUAUUGAGAAUUCUGAAAAAUGCAAUGGAAUAAAAGUUAUCUAUUUUCAAUAUGCAUGAAAUUACCUCAAAAAUUGAUGUUCAUUUUCUAGUAUAGAGCUUUUUCAUUUUCUGUGAUUACUUAUGUAUAAACAUUAGAAUGCAUAAAGAACUGUUCCUUCUGGGUACUCUAUAGUUUUCUAAAAGAAACUACAGAAAAGAGAAAGUGAAAAAAAUGUGGAAAAAAUGUGGAUAGAAAAGACAAAAACAAGAAAAGGGUUAAAAACGAAAACCCUAAAAGUGACUGCACCAUCGGGAAGCCUUCACUAGAAGCCAACAAACCUAACAUUCAUGUAUAGGACACUUCCCAACAACAAGGUAAAACCAGAAGAAACACAGUCUUCUUAAGGGCACAAUGAGAGGACCUGUGAGUGCCACAUGCAUCUGUCCCAAGACCUUGGGACCCUUUACUCUUAGGUCUAUUGAGAUAGACUAGGUCAAGUCUCCAUAAAUGGUUUUGCUUCUUUUGAGGCAGGGUCUCUCUGCAAUACCAAUCAGCUCCAGGCUUGCUAUGUACCCCAGCAUGUGCUUGAAGUUGCAAUCCUCAUUGCUGAACCUCCCAUGCUGGGAUUACAAGCAUGUGUCAUCACACCUACUUCGAGUCUCAAUACACUUAAAAGGACUAGUACACAAAAUAUGUUCUCUAAAGAAGGUGGAAUGAAAUCACAGAUCAAUGACAGGAAGAAGUCUGGUAAAUUCCUAAAUAUGGAAAUUAAGCUUAUAUAAGGAUCCUACUGGUCAAGAACAAAUAACAGAGACGUGAAAAAACAUGUCAAUGAAGCAAUAAAUAUAAAUGGUGACACCCAGCACCAACACUUUAGGAAAGCUAUACACACAAUUGCAAAUAUUAAAGAUUCUCAUCAGUAAUAUAAAGCUCUGAAUAAACAAGGGGAAAACCCAAGAAACUUAAAAAAAGACAUCAGAAAGAAAAAAUAAAGAGUAAGAUCAGAGAAAAGUGAAAUAGAGAAUUAGAAAACGGUAGAGAAAUUCAACAUACCCAAAAAUUAGUUUUUAACAAAGGUCCUGGGCAGAUAGCUUAGCAGCCUAGCAGCCCCCUGCCUGCUUGGCAAGUGUGAGGCCCUAAAUUGUAUUGUAGAUACCAAAACAAAUCAAUGGUAAAAGGUCAACUAUGCUGGGCUGGGUGUGUAAUCCCAGCACUGGGGAGGCUGAGGCAGAAAGACAGCUGUGAGUUCAAGGUUCGCAUUAACUAUACAGUAAGACCAUGUUUGGGGGGCAAACAUCAUUAUCAAAGAAGGGGACAUUGCUGGGUGUGGUGACACAUGCCUAUAAUCCCAGCACUUGGGACCUUGGGACAGGAGGAUCUGUGUCUCAAACAAGGGUGGGAUUAUUACUGACCUGGAAUGGAUUGUUAAUAACAUGGAAUGGAUUAUAUGGGAAAACCAAAAAAUUAUCUGCCAAUAACUUAGAUAACCCAGAUGACAGAUACAGGUCUAGAAACUGAAGGAAAAACAAAACCUGAACAGACAUAUUUAAAUGUAAUGAUUGAGUUAUUGACCAAAACUUCUCACAAAAGAAGAGCCUUUUGUUUUCUCUUUGGUGGGAUGAAAAGAAUCUCACAAUCAGAUGGCUUCACUCGUGAAAUCUGCCAACUGAUUAAAAAGCCAAUAACCCCAACCCUUCAAAACAUUUUCUAAAAUGUAAGUGAAGAAUACUUCCUAAUUCAUUCUAGGAGUCAGUAUUCCCCAACCACACACACACCAAAAAAAAAAACACAUGAAGAAAUCAAGAAAAUUAUAUAUACAUGUAUAUGAAUAAACAUAUAUGAAUAUAUGUAUGUAUGUAUAUUUUUCUUGUACCAGGGUUUGACCUCACAAUCUCACACUUGUCAGGCAAAUGCUGUGCUGCUGAGCUAUAUCCUUAGCCCUGAAUCAAUAUUUCUUAUGAAAACAGAUAUAAAAUUCCUCAACAAAUACUUACAAACCACAUUAAACCAAGAAUACAGCUAACACUAUGCAUCAUGACCAAGUCCAGGAAUGCGUUCGGCUCAACAGAAAAAUCAAUAAACCUAAAACACAAUAUUAAUAGAAUAAAAGAAACAUGUUCAUCUACAUUAAUGCAGUGGGAGCAAUUAAAAAUUAACUCAUUUUCACUAUAAAACCAUCCACAAACUAGGAAUAGAAUCACCUCAGGAGUGGAGACAUCAGUACCUGUCUGGCGAGGGCCAGGAUAUGAGUUCAAUCACUGGUACCAAGAAACAAGCAAACAAACAAAAAAGAGUCACUUCAGCCUAAUACAGGGGACUAAAAGAAAAGGGGAAAAAACCACCAUGGCUAUAUUUAUUAAAAUCUAUAUGGAGGUUUGAGCUAGGACAGCUGGGGAAAACAAAAUGGGAUCCAUACUGGAAACACCAAGCUAUGUAUAAUUGCAUAUGCAUAUAGAAGACUAUAGAGAAACCAGGAAUCUUGCUGCAGGCCUGUGAUCCUAGCAUUUUGGGUGGCCGGAGGAUUCCCAUCUGGACAUUUAACCAAUUAAGCAGAUAUUGUCUCAAAAUAAAAAUAAAGCAAGGGACAAGAGUGUAGCUCAGUCCCUGGUACAAGUGUGAAACUAUAAGCCAGUCAUUGUGGCAGUACAUGUCUAUAAUCCCAGGACCCAGGAGGCUGAGGCAGGAGGAUCACUCUGAGGUGGAAGUCAGCCUGGCCUGCAUAGUACCUUCAAGGCCGGUCUGAACUCCGUAGUGAAACCUCUUAAUUAAACCGAAAAACAAAUCAAAAGAGAAGAGAAAACCAUAAUGAAUGCAUACAUGGAAGGAAACUACGACUAAUAAGGUUGUAGGACACAAGAUCCUUAUGCAAAAAUUGGCUGCCUUUUUCCAUUGCAGUGUAACUCAAUGCAGCAUACUUUCCUAGCAUAUACAAGGCGCUAGGCUCCACCCCCAGGGCCAGAAAGAAAAUUAAGAAUGAUAUUAAGAAAAUUAUCCCAUGUGUUGACAAGAAUAGUACUAAAUGUAACCAAAGAAGUACAAAACAUACAUUGAGAACUAUAAUCCACUGUUAAAAAAGAAAUUAAAGAUCUAAAUGAAUAGAAGACAUUUGUGUUCAUGGCUCAGAAGACAUCAUUACUAUUAAGAGGUCACAUCUUCCAGUGAUAUAGCCCAGCAGCACAGCACCUGUCUAGCAAGGACUAGGCCCUGAGUUCGAUUCCUGAUACAAAAAAAAAAAAAAAAAAAAAAGAUGUCACUAUACUUCAAGCUGAGCUAUGAUUUCAGCACAGGUCCUAUCAAAAUCCCAGGUACCUGGGCUGGGGCUGGGCUCAGUGGUACAGCACUCACCUACCAAGCACGAGGCCCAGUACUGCUAAACAAAAUGAAACGAAACAAAACAUAAAACUCCAGCUGGAUUUUUCCAAAACCUGGCAAGCUAGUUUCUAAAAUUCACAUAGCAAGUCAAGAGAUUCAGGAUCACCAAAACCACCUUGAAAAAGAACAGGCUAGGACUCAGUUUCCACUUUCCAAACCCAGUGGAGAUCUACAGCAAACCCAAGUGUGGUAUUAGAGUAAGACUAGCCUGUAAAUCAAUGGAAUCGUGCUGACGGUCCAGGAAUAAAUCUUCACCGUUACCAUUAACUGACUAUUGGCAGGGUGUGAAAACAAUCCGCUGUGGAAGGAAUACGGAGUCAGUGGUGGGGCUGCGAGCCACGCACUCGCUCUUGCCUGGUGAGCUUCCCCAUUGAGUGCAUCCUCCCAGAUACGGUUUAACUUGCUUCAUUUGUAACAUUAGUCAAUAUUCAAUGAGAUGAUGUCAUGAAGUGAAAGAACAUGAAUGUCACGUAACUAAUCAGCACAGUGGCUCAAAGUAUAGCUUUCAAUAGGCCACUCACUGCUGGGCUCUGUGAAAGCGGGUUCUCCACCCCUACCUCUUCUCUCCCUGCUUCCUUUCCCCCAGCCACUAAGAAUGACGGUGAAGGCCAGGCCCAGUGGGGCAGGCCUGUGGUCCCAGCACACUAGGAGGCUGAGGCCAGAGGUCAAAAGUUUGACCCAGCCCGGAUAGUUUAGCAAUUUCAGGAAACCUUGUUUCUAAAUAAAAAGACGGGGCAUGUGGCUCAGUGCAAAAGCCCUCGGUUUAAUCCCCAGUACCACAAGAUGGCAAUAAAAAUGACUAUAGAGCUUGUCUACCCUGGCCGGUCAACAGGAAACCUUCAGAUGCUCACAACUGUCAUGCCAGGCCAGGAACUCUACGAGUGUCAAACUAGCAGAAAACAGUUGGAGCUGUCUGUCCCAAAAGUCCUACUGAAGUUAGAAGCCAACUCCCAAAGUACAGUCAAAGUACAAAAAGCCAAACUGUUAUCAGUCAGUUCCUAGUACAAGGGAACAAAAGCUGCAUAGAAAACUGUGUGCAAAGCUGACCGAGUAAUCCUACCACUCACGAAUGGUGUGCACCUGACUGACUUAGCCCAGGCUUCUGAGUCCAGCUUCCUCGUCUUUGAAUUAGUGGGAAUAAUAGUAACAAUGCAAGAGUUGUUGGGAAAAUGAGACUAAAGUAACAUAUUUGAGCAUUUGCCACAUGCUAAGUGCCCGUUCAAGAGCGUUCAGUGUGUUAUCUCAAUAGCAUCUCUACUUAAUGUAGUGCCUUAACAGACACCUGAUAAAUGUAGCAUUAAAGAAAUGUGACAGGAAGAGGAAGAACUGCUAAACUUCCAAGAGCAGAGACGUUGCCUUGUUGGAGAAGGAAGAUGAAGUAAUUGCUGGAUGUAACACCCAAAUCUUUUAAACUUUACAAAUUAAAGAGCCAAAGUGUGUCAGCUCAAAAGACAAACCUGAGUUGAUAUUUUCAUGUGUCACGUGUCUGCCUGUGAAGCUAGAAGAACUGCCAAGGUCCCGGUACAGUCCGGAAGUGUAUGCACCGAGAUGAGCAAACACUGUGCAUGGGAGACUGAGGCCAGUGGACUGCUGGGAGCAGGAGGCUGUCUCAGGACCAUGGCUCAGUUUCCCUUUAAUGUGGCCACACUGACCUCAUGAGCAUCCUAGUACAGGGUAAAUACUUCAGCCGGGACAGACUUAGAUUUUCCCCUGUUCUCUCUUAGAUCAGUUGUUGCCUGACCCUAGACAAGCCAGCAUGUGAAUAUACUCUACAUCUGUCAGGGUGUUUCUACUGUAUAAAGUCUUCUCAUGUGUAAAAGCACAGACCUUCACUUCAGGGACGGAGGCAGGAGGAUUGCCUCAAUUUCAUACCAGCCUGGGCUCCAAAGUGAGCUCAAGGCCAGGCUGGAAUACAUAGCAAGAUCCUGUCUCAAAAAUAAUAAAAAACUAAAUGGAGGAUAUUGUAAUGUUAGAACUGAUGAAGUGACUGAAAGAAUUUUCAAAAAGCAGCCAUGAGUGUGCACUUGUGUUGUGGAAUGCAGGAGAAACGCUUGGAAGUCGGGGGCGGGGGGAGCACACUUAACAUUUAGGAACGUCAACUUGGCCAGUUUUUCGUAAUAUAUUUCAAUCCCGAUUUUUCUGAGGUAGCAAGGUUUCAGUUAAUAAACAAAGGAAGAUCAAUGCUCUGCAGAGUGAGUGUGGGCCAACUGAAAGCAGGAAAGUACAGUACACUACAGGGUGAGAGGAGCACUGUGACACAGCACAGUGGCUUCGUCAUCUUGCAGAUGCGAGUCUUCCUACCACUCAGAGUGGCACCUUCCCACCGAGUUCUUGGCGUAUCUUUGAGGUGGGUUUCAGAUUCAAGUGAGAUUGACCCCAACAGAUUGCUAAUUACUGUUCCAAUGUUGUCAGUAAUGCAGAGGCUCUAUCAAAGUUAUUAACUAGGUUAUAAUUCCCUGGCAUGCAGGCAUGAAACCAGACUUAGUGGGGCCUGAACCUUAUGAAAUUUGCAAAGUGCCUUUUAAUGAAAAAGCAUGCAAAAUGUAUGCCUACAGAAAUUUCUAGGCCCCGCCAGGACAUUGGAAGGGUCCUGUGCAAGUGAGGAGUCCCAGGGCUUCCCCUCCACUCAACUCAUGAUAAAUCCACCACAGCGGAGGCAUUUGUGCAGCAGGGAGAAAUACUUCAACUGAUAAUGAGCUCCAGACUGAACAUGUUGGUCAUAAAAGUAUUGGCAUCCUAGCUUGGCGACUUCCCUUUGAAAAGAGAUGCGAUAGGCUUCUGUCUCACUGUGGUGACGGUCAGCUAGCUUUGUCUCCUGGGAAACUUGAACCCAAAGCCCAGGUACCCAGUCCCAAACACACACUUGGUGGAUUGUGACCAUUAUGUUGAUCUUUUUACUUUCUCAGGGGAGAUAGGGGCUUGAUACGUUGCCACGGCUGGCCCCCGCUCCUCAGCUUAAAUGAUCGCCUGCCUCAGCCUUCCUGAGUAGCUGACACUACAGGUGCAUGCCACAAUUGACUGACUGUGCAAAUCUACUGAAGUAACUGUAGAGUAGUUUGAGAGGCAGGGCUCUAUCCACAGCAAGUGCUGUGAGCAUGAAUGUCCAGCACCACUUAGCUCUCACUUUCUCAUCUCCAGAAAGCAACUGCCUUUCUGUUAAGAAAAACCUUAACAUCAGAUGUCACAAGUCACCGUCUCCUCCAUUAUGAGUCUUUUCUAGUGCUUCACCUGUGCCCACUUUCCUUCAAAAGCAAGCCUUCAGUGUCUCCCAGGCUGGGCAUCACCAGGUUGACAAGGAGAGUGAGGAGUUCACACGGUUGAGGAUGCAGGUGAAGUUAACCAGCUCCAGAUGCAUCCUAAACCUCCCCCCCAGGGAUUUCAGACUGUGUGAACUGGACUUUGGACCCACGAGACAGGUGGGAAGUCUUUCCCAACUCAGGUGGAGAUGGGGAUUUUCAUCUUGAGUCUGAAAUCCCCUUCAGGCUAUUAAACAUCAGCAGAAAGGAAGUAAAGCCUGCACUUCUUAUCAAAGGGAGCAGGAGAGAAAGCAUGUGGAAUUGGGCUAGAGAAAUGUAUUUUUAUACAUAUUUUCCACACUAUCUCUUAACACAAACACCCACCUGUUGGACAUUUUGAAGUUCUGAUUGCACACAGAUAAUUCAUAACUUCAGAAGUCAAUAUUUUUUCAAAAACAACAUUGUGGGUGGUUAGGGAGAGAAGUACCUGGUGGCAGGCUUUCAGGAAUUCUUUCUACUUUCCCAUUUAGUGGACACCGGCAGUGAAAAAGCUUUGGUACCUUUUGCUUCUUGUAGAACUUUACAUUAAACUUAGUCCUGUGAAGUUCUCUAGUGUAUAUAUUUGAAUAGUGAGAACUCUGCAUGUGAGAAGCAAGCAAGUGGAAUUUCAAGGAACAUUCGUUCACAGCCUUCACAGCAGCCAUGAGCUCCAAACGAUGCUAAUUUGAGUGUUACCUGUGUGACACCUUGUGUUGCUCAUGCCAAAGACCAGUACCUGAGAAUGCAGAGCAGGCUACCUAGAAGUUAUAGAAGUCAGCUCGCUCAUCUGCAGGAAGCAAUUGCUUUGUGGUAACAAAAACCCACGUGCCUCUAAUCCCAGCACUCAGGCGAUUGAGGCAGGACCAAUGUAAGUUUGAGGCCAGCCUGGACUGCAUAGCAAGACCCUGUCAUCAAAAAUGUUAUAUCAAAUCCCUUGGCCUCUUUGUACCGUAGUUUCCUCAUUUGGAAAUAAUGAAUGUAGUCUUUGGCCAUACCAUCCUGGAUGCUCCUCAUCUCAUCUGAAAAUAAUCAGUGGAUCUUAAGACUUACUUUUCAAAGCUCUUUCAGGAUCCAGCUAGUGAAUAACUGCAUGAAGUUGAUACAUAGAUUUGGUUUUCACAGUUUUUGUUUUUACAUAUGUUUAUCAUUUAUAUCACUUACACUUGGUGUAAAAACUGCAUCCCAUGCCAUGCUUGAAAUGUUCCAAAGCUCACUUUUGUGAGUAAAUUGCAACGAAGAUUUCUACAAAAAAAUAAAAGGACAUAAUUGAAAGAAUAAAGAUGCUCUUUCUGAACCUUUUUCAUUUGGCAGUUAUUUCAACUUAUAUAUGAUGAAACAUCACUUGAAAUAGUUUUUCCAUAUACUAAAGAAAUCUCAUUGGAAGAUGGUGGCUUGUAAUUUAGACUUUCAUAUUUACAUGUGAAAUGCACUAGAUACAAAGAAUGAAAGCUUAAUAAAUACUUGUGCUGAGUGAUCUUUAUUGCUCUUGAACAGCAUUCCACAGCUUGCGCACUAGUGACAUUUGGAGCUGGUUGAUUCUUUGUGUUGAGUGCCUGACUGAACACUGUAGCAUGCUUAGCAGUAUCCCUGAUCUCUGCCCUCUCGAUGCCAAUAGCAAUUGUCACCUCCAUGCAAAAUCAAACCAACUGAGAAUCAUUGCUCUGUAGUGACUCUCUCUGACCUGUGUGAUAAUCUCUAUAAUCCACUUUGGUAGAGGUUUAAAGGAUUUCCCCAUGAGUAGCAAAGAGAUUUUAAGACUAUAAAUAUAAGGAAGUUUUAUUUGUAACUUACAAGAACUUCAAAAAGGGUAGUGCUUCAAAUGUUUCUCUUUCAAUAAACUGUAUUUUAUUGCAGGAUAAAUCUCUAGAACAAGGAAAAGGAAAACAUUGCCUUAAAUAACUAGUAAGUAAGUAGUAUGAACACUAGACUUUAGAAUUCACAAUAUUAAAAACAUUUUUGUCAAAAUCUUGGACUUGUAUCUGAACAUUGUGGACCCCAUAUCCUGUCUCUAAUUCCUCUAGGACUCUCACCUUCAUGAUCUUCAUAGAUAAAGUAUACAACUAUUAGAUUGUGUUUUUCAUUUCUGAACUAGGUAGUCCUGGCUGGCCUUGAACUUACUGUGUAGCCCAGGCUAGUCUCGGACUCACCGUGCUCUUGUCUCCUCCUCCUAGGUGCUAAGACUGCAGGUAUACUACUUAAUGGCUUUUAUUUCUUGCCCUGUCAUUUUGAAACAGUUUUGCUACAGCAUUCAGGCUGGCCCUGAGCUCACUUUGUAGCCCAGGCAAGCCUCAGAUUUGCAGCAAUCCUUCCUCACGCUUUUGAAUGCUAGGAUUACACCACCAAGCCUAGUUUUCAAUUUCUUUUUUUUGUUUAUUUUAAAGAGAAUAAAACAAAACAAAACAGAAGAAAGCAAAUAAGAACAGAACAAUGCAAAUGACAGAGGACUUCUAAACAGGACAAUGGAAAAGUAAUAAUGUCUACCACAAUGUCUCAAUUUUCUUCAAAAUAGCUUGUCCAUACCAUCACAUGAAAUAAAAUCAAACAAAACAAAACAGAACAAAACCAAUCAAAAUUAAAAAAUGAAAACAUUACAUGACUUCAAAACAAGAUAAUAACAAUGGCUACUAUACUGUCUCUUGUUUUCUUCAAAAUAACUUCAUACCAUCAAAACACAAUAGAAUAAAACCUAUCAAAAGAAUUAAAACAUUACAGGACUUCAAAACAAGAUGAUGCGAAAACAACAAUGGCUUCCAUAAUGUCUCAUUUUGUUCAAAAUAGUCAUCCAUACCCUCACACAUAAUAAAAUCAAAACAAAACAGAAUAAAACCAAUCAAAAGAAUAAAAGCAUUAUAGGACUUCAAAAUAAGAUAAUAUAUAAACAAUGAUGUUUACCACAAUAUAUGCUGUUACCUUCAAAAUAGCUGCCCAUAUCACCAAGCACAGUAAAAUCUAACAACCAAGACACAAUAAAACCAAAUCUAACAAAAUUAUGAAAAUUGUAAAAGAGUUGAAAACGAGGUAAUUGGUAAUUAGCAGUGAUUCCCACUUUCCUUUUUUAGGCAUUUCCUCAACUAUCACUGUUAUAAUCUAAUGUGCCUUUUGGAUCCCACUAACUCCUUCAGUUGUUGAUGCUAGGGGGAUAACUUGGUGUUCACCUGUAUGUGUCCAAACCAUUUCACCCAUGAACAUGAUCUCAGUUGCAUCCAAUUCCCUACAAUAGCCUCAAGAUUGCCUACUUUAUAGCUGGGCAGCUUUCCAUUGUAUGUAAAUACCAUAUCUUUCUUAUCCAUUCUGCAGUUCAUGGGCAAGUUACUCUUGCUUUUUUUUUUUUUUUUUUUUUUUUUUUGGUCUCUUGUCACAUAGAACAAUUGUUUUCUCUCCUUUGAUUUUUUGUCUAUGCAUGCCACAGGUUUGCCACUACUGCCUUAGGGCCGGGAAUGUUUCAUAAUUCCAGAGACUAUUUUUAGUCCCAUAUAGUAAAAAUUCUUUAUGCCUACUUUCUUCAAGCCUUCUACAUUUGAAAAAAGGCUCUAUUUGCCAAAAUACCACAAAAUUAGUUUAAUUAGCAUUAAUAAUAUUUACACUUCUGGACCCACUGGACCAGAAACCAAACCAAACCAAACACAAAACAACAAAACAAAAAUCAAGCUUUCACACCAAAGAACAUAGUAUCCUCCUUUCUCUAAACUGUUAAAAAUACUAUGCAAGUAAUUCCUCUUUGAAAACAAGACUGCAGAGAUUGUGAUUGUUUUAGUGAAGAUGGAGUAUUUCUAUGCUGAGUGUAAACAUUUCCAGCAAUAGCAUUUUUUUUACUUUUUUACUUUUUUUUUUUUUUUUUUUUUUUUUUUUUGAGACAGGGUCAUGCUAUGCAGUUCAGGCUGGCCUUGCGCUCACUUUGUAAGGCAGGCUGGUCUUGAACUUGCAAUAAUCCCUUGCCUCAGCCACCCAAAUGCUGGGAUUUCAGGAGUGCACCACCACACUAUACCACUUAAUCACGAUUUUAAACACAUGUUUUUAAGAUGGGUGUCAUAAUUCCAGCACUAAAAUGCUGGCAGUCAAUUCUUCUGGUAUCUUAAUCAUCUGGAUAAUACAACAGUUUACCCGCUUAGUUAAUUAUUUAAUACUUUAGAAACUUAUUUAAUACUUUAAGUGUUAGUUUCAUUCAGAUUCAAUCAUCUAAGCACUCUGGGUUAAUGGCACUCAGAUUAGCACAGGCGGUCUACACAGUACAUUCUGGUCCUCUAGACAGCAGUCUAAGGUUAACUUUAAUUCUUUUGUUCUGAUUCAGCUUUUUCAAAUCUCUAUUGUAAACACCAUAUAGCAAAUACUUAUAGACUUUGCAGGUCACAUAUAGUCUCUGUUGUAUAUAUUCAUGAGAGGUUUGUUUCUUUUUUGUACUGGGAAUUGAACUCUCAAAUUUGCAACCUCACACUUGCCAGGCAGAUGCUGUACCACUGAGCUAUAUCCCCAGCCCUCCUUUUCUUUUAAACCACUUAAAAAAGAAAACACAACAAAAACAUAAUGAACUUAUGAGCUAAAUAAAAAAAGACUGGAUCAAUUGGAUUGAUGGCCCAUAUGGUAAAUACAAAUACAAGCCAAUGGUACAUAAGCACUAAUAAAACAAGGUUCAUGUUAUAACACCGGUAAGUGCUCAGAUCUUAUUACUACUUUUUCUGUGUAAGUUGGGCUUUCCCAUUUGUACCUUAUGAUUUAAAAAGUGAAAAUGGGGCUGAGGAUUUAGCUUAAUGGCAUAAGCGUCUGCUUGGCAAGUGCAAAGUCAUGCAUUCAAUCCCUGGUAUCAAAAAAGAUAAAAAAUGAAAAUAAAAAUAAAAAGUGAAAAUGUGCAUAGCAUUUUUGAUGAUAGACAUAGACUGAGACCUAUACAAACUUGCACACUUACAGCAUUUUAUUUCUGGAAGAGAUUUUGGAGAAUAUAUAAUUAGAACUGCCUCCUCAUUUUACAGAUAACUCUAAACUCAAAUAAACAUGAUUAACUUACAAAUACUGGAGGUUUAGCAGGCCUUCAAAGGAAUCCUUACGUAGUUCGGUGAUGUAAUUUUCACUGAGAUUUCUGGAAGAUGAAAAGGUUAUUUUUAAAUCACAUUUCCUCAGAAACCUGAAGGAUAUGCAGUGAUGAAAAAGCGGAGGAGGGAGGCGGCGGCGGUUAAAAAAAAAAAAAAGAAAGAAAGAAAACGCGGAGGAAAUGAGCACUGUCAGGUCCUGCCACGUGGAGUGUACCUGGAGCAAUUAAAGUCUCAUAUCUACAACAAUCUCAUGCCAACAAUCCCCUUUGUAGGCACCUGUUCUACAGAAAUAUUUGCCCAUGUUCACAAAGAAGCAUCAACAAGUGUUCAUUGUGUGGUACAGGUAACAAGAAAGCUGGAGAGGACUGGGGAUACAGCUCAAUGGCAUAAGCAUCUGCCUGGCAGGUGCAAGGUCCUGAGUUCAGUUCCAGGUGCCAAAAGAAGAAGAGGAUAACAAAAGAAACCUGGAGAGGUACCUCCCCAAAUAAGAGACCUGACCAAAAACUGGGCAACUAAAAUGAAUAGACACAUCUCAGAAGAGAAGCACCAACAGCCGAUAAAUGCAUAAAAAAUGUUCAAUAACUAUGGUGCUUAGAGCAUUGUAAAGUAAUAAUAUUCCAUCUUACCCCACAAGGAAUGGAAUCAGCAGGAAGUCAAACAAUAAAAAAUGCUAGUGAGGCUAUAGGGGAAAAACACUUCGAUGUUGCUGGUAGACAUGCAAACUAGUGCAGUCACUGUGGGACUCGGUGUGGAACUGCCUCAAAAAACAACUAGCCAUUCCACUUGACCCGGUUAUUCUCCGUCUAGGUAUUUUCCCAAAAGAAUUAAAGGCAUCAUGUUACAUUGAUGAAUUCAUAGUCGUUUGUAGCAGCACAACUCAUAAUAGCUAAACCUUGGAAGGGCCCGCUAUGUCUAUCGACAGAUAAUGGAUAAAAACAAUGUAUUUACACACAGUGCAGUACUCUGCCAUAAAGAGAAGGAAACUUCAGUCUUUUGCAGAAAUCAAACAUGUUUAAUUAUAUCAUGAGUUCUGUUAUAUGGGAAACCCAAUGUCUAAAUAAAAAGCAAAAUUAAAGAAAGAUAAUAGGAAGAAGGGCGAUAGAUCUUUCUCAGAAAGAUGAUGAUCAAGAAAUGGGGGGAAGGGGAUGGAGAACCGGAUGAGAAAAAGAAUUGAAAUGUAUGGUAUCAUGUACAUGUGGCAAUUGCCCAUGAGGGAUGUAAUCAUCAUAUACUGCAGUGCACUAAUUUUAAAAAAUGAAAAAAUCCUGGAUAUACUCUAAACAUCCAUCAAUAGGGAUAUUAUUAAAUACACCAUGACAGCCAGGCAUGGUGGUGCACCUCUCAUCCCAGAACUUGGGAGACUGAGGCAGGAAGAUGGGCUACAUACAUGAAUUCAAGGUUAUCCUGUACUAUGUAGCAAGACCCUUUCUCAAAAAAAAAAAAAAACCAAAACCCAAAUUAAGACAAAAUGAAUACACCAUGUGAGCUGCGGUGGUGCAUCCCUGUUAUCCCAGCCCUCAAGAAGUUGAGGAAGCAGAACUGCCGUGAGUUCAAGGCCAGCUUGCCCUACAUGGUGAGACUUGUCUCAACACAAACAAGUAAAAAUACACACUAUGGAAUAUUGUAGGAGUGUAAGUGAGUGGGUAACCCACUAUAUGUGGGGUAGGAGAGUACUCUGGGGUAUCAAAAGUGAGAGAUUCAAGUUGCCAGGUAGUACUGUUUAGGUAAAAAAAAAAAAAAAAAAAAAAAGACAGCCACCUGACAACCCUAUUUCACUGUAUGUCAGUAUGUGUGCAGGCAAAUGCAUGGGAAAGAUCAGGAAAGAUACAUCAGAUUCAGACUAGUGGUUACCUCAUUGAUGGGUCAUUAGAGCAUAUGGAAGGUCUUACCUGUUAUUUCAUCUUUAUUCAUUAAGAAUAUAAUCACAUUCUCUUUGUAUAAAAAAAAUAAAUUUCAACUGUUUCUUUCCAAGAGGAUCUGUGAGGGUUGGGAUUUAGCUCAGCAGCAUGAGCGCCUGCCUAUCAAGUGUGAGGUUGUGAGUGCAAUCCCUGCUACCAAAACAAAAAGAAAGAAAGAAAGAAAGACAUUGCUCACCAAGAGGGUGUAUGAAAUUUAAUUCUUUCUCUUUGUCUCUCUCCCUCCCUCCCCACUUCCAGAGCUGGGGCUUGAACCCAAGGGCUCACACAUCUAAACACAUGUUUUAAUCAAGUGAGGUUGACCUGAGAUAAGAUGGGGAAAUACCUUUGUUCAAAAGUGUUCACCUCAACAUUCUGAAUCAAGGAGGAUCCUGGUUUUUGUAUGAAGUUUUUAUAUUCAUAUUUUAAAAGAUUAUACUCACAGUUUCUCAGCCCAACGGUAGGUUUUCCAUGCCCCUUUUUGUAUACUAUAAAUAGAGUUUCCUUGGAAAUCCCUGUGAAGAAACAAUUUAUGUCUUUGAAUAACUGGGAAAGGAAUAAAUACAAGAAUCCUAACAAUAUCCAGGAUAUUCAAACACAGAGACAAUAACAGCUUUUCAUUUCCAGAACUAACAGCUCCCCAGUUUGCACAAGACAGUCAGACUAAGGAGCAGCCAGCACAAAUGAUGAGACUUUUGCUCAGCAGCUCAGCUUCCUAUCUGUCCAGUCUCCUGGAUUAAUGAUGUCGGUCACUUAGUUUUAAUUUAAGUGUUUUUCCCAAAAUCACUUGGGUACAAGAUGACUCCUACAAAUCAAUAAGUAAAAGAAAAAUCAUUCAACAGAAAAAUGGGCCAAAAUGCAUCAUUAUUAGUGAGUAAGAAUAAAGCAAGCCUCUGCCAGCUGGCGCCAAAGCUUUGGCUCAGUACCCUUUGUGGAAGCUCUGCAGGCAGUGGAAGGAUAAGGGCAAGAGCAACGUAGAGGAGCUAACGUCCUGAUGUGGAAAAACCGCUUGGACUUGAUGCACAGGGAAGAAGAGGAACCACCAGGCAAGCAGUAAACCAUCACCUGGUCAGGGCAAAAACUGCAAAGGAGAAGGAGGAACCCACACAAAACUGGCACCAGGGCUUAUCUCCCGUGUGACAGGGUGAGGGAGACAGAUGGUCAAGCAUAUAAGGGUAUGGAUCUCCCAUUAUUCCAUACACAUCUCUGACUCCUUUUUAAAGGAGGUCUAUCAUGCCUUGCCAACGAGUUAUUAGGUCAGGAGUAGGGGAGCACGCCUGUGAUCACAGCACUCAGGAAGCUGAGGCAUGAAGAUACCAGUGAGCCUCAGGCCAGCCUGCCUCGAACCAGGGUUCAGUUCCAAUUUUGCGGAAACUCAUUCUUUAUCCGUCAGCAACAACUUUCCUGCUCAGUUUGCAUACACUUUUCCUGAGGAUGGCGGGAAAGCAAUCUGUCUGCUCAUGCGCCUAGUGAACAUUUCCACGUGACCAGAUGCAUUCUCAUUGCUCUGCGCUCACCACGGCCUCAAACAGAACUUGUGCCCCUCAAGCUGGCUCUCCUCCCUGCUUGGGGCUGCCACCUGUGACACCUCCACCACUCAGCUCCACACAGCAUGGAGACGGGAGCUCACAGGAGUUUGCUCUUCUCUGUCCACCCUGCCCUCAGCUGUUUACUGGGUGGCUUGGUCACGCAGUGUUCCAGUGUUCACCCACUCUCACACCAGCACCCUGCUCAGCCACUUGUCACUUAUCCCCAGGCUCCUAGAGAUUCGAGGUCUCCCUGAAUUCAGCCUUCCCUUCCAGAUGCCUCCACAUGUGGAGUCUAACAGGGUCCUCCUGUUUUGAUCAUUUUGCUCUCUGGCUUGAAAACUCUGUCUCUCUGUGUCUGUCUGUGUGUCGGUCUCUGUCUCUGUGUCUCUCUGCCUGUCUGUCUCUCUGUCUCUCUAAAGACCCUAAAGUUGAUAUUCAGUGUUCAUAAUUUGAAAUAAUACCUCAUUGCUUGAUAACCCUGUUCUUUUCAGGCAGACUGGCCUGUGCAGCCAUGUUCAUUCCUGCUGCCAUGCCUUUGGGCUGGCCUUCCUGUGUUUCCUCUGCUUGACAAUUGCAGGCACUCUAAGCACCAGCUAAGGUUUGAGCUCCCCCAUGCAGUGUUCCCUAACCUUCAAAUCUUGUGACUCUGCAUCUAUUCUUUAUGGCCCCACCACCUCCGCUAAGGCUCUUCCCCUCCCUUCUAUCAUUUUCAUGUUCUGGAAAAAGCAUUAUGCUUCUUUAGUUCCCCAUGUACUUAGCUCUGCAGGAGUGAGCACAAACUAGAUACUGCAAAGCAAGGGGCAAAGGUGAGUUCUGCACAUAAUUCAGGGCCUCAACAACAACAACAGUAGCUAAUAUUCAUACAUAUGGGGGUGCUGUUACUUGUAUCACAAUGUUCUCUUUUCUGACACAGUCCUGUGAAACAGUAAACAUUAUAUUCCUCCUUCCACAGAUGAGGGAAGUGAGUCACAGACUAACUUGCAAAAUGUUACAAAGAUAAUGAAAGAGAUGUCUGGGUUAAAAUGCAGGCCGUCUGGGUCAGGCAGAUUCUAUUCCUUUUUCCAAGGGGUGAGGGAUACUAGGUAUCAAACCCAGGACCCUGAGUGUACAAGACAGGCAGUGUACCUCUGAGCUACACCGCCAGGCCCAGAAUCUACUCGUGCCCACAUUGCUGUAUCACCACUAAGGAAAUGAGUUGUGAAAAGGGGGGAGCAAAAAUAGGAGAGUAAGUGUUAGGUGGUGGGAUAAGUAAAGUGCAACCCAUCUGGGACCCCACCUGUCUCUCAGGAGCUAUUCCUAGUCACCACUCCUAUUCCCCAGUAAAUUUUCCUACCCUUAACCUCCAUUGUUCCUAAGAAUUCACUCUUCAUCUUCAGCGAAAAUGAACUCAGUGUGUCUGACUUCCAGUAGGUUGGGAGUGACGUUCUGUUAUUUUUGGGUUUUUCUUUUACCUAUUUCAUCAUAACCUGGGCAGUGCAGGUGACAGCAGACACAGUACUGUCAAUCCAUCUGCUCCUCUUAGCUGACUUGCAGGUGCUUCGUGAAACGUUUUACUUUCCCUGAUUUAAAGACUUGAAAGCAGGCUUACAACUCUGGGCCAAGCUUGGUGAAUUCACUAAGACCGUGUCUCAAAAUAAAAUAUAUGAAGAAAAAAAGAAGGAAAAAGGGUAAGAGGGCACAAAUAGUACAAAGAGAGUGGAAUAAGGAAAAUUGAGAAAGAAGAAGGUAAAAACAGAAAGUCAAUGUGAACAGGGGAUGUGAGGACAGUCUAGGAAGCCCUUGAAGAAAGGGCUGUCACCUCAGGCACAAUGCAGACAACAAAAGAAGAAAACUGAUCCUUACAAGACUGUGAAGGAGUUGACCUCUACGACGGGUACUUGGCGCAGCCUUUGCUUCGGGUUGAGACCCGUACAUGACAGGGUGUCAUUGUCACAGGUGCAGAGCUCACAUAUGUUGCUAGUGCUGGUGGCAUCCUGCACCAUUUGUGCAGAAUAAUGGUUAGUGUUCUGUUCCACAUCCAAAGGUUGAUCCGUGAUGGGAGUCAGGUGUGGAUGUGAAGAUGUCAACCCAUGCUGCUUCAGAGCAGGAGUAGAAGCCUUGUGCAGGGCCACAGAAUGUUCAGCCUCUGUAGUGGGUGCUGCACUUUUGGUAAGCACUACUCCCAAUGGUUGGAUGGUGCCAAUGGGUGAUGUUGGAGGCUGAGCUAGAUCCUGACCUUGUGAAGUUGGAUUGGGCAUCUCACGUGGUAUGGCAAUUUUAACUACAACAUCCAUAGAUGCCUCUGGAGGCUGAGAGGGGUUCUCCUGGAUCACUGAGGAAGCUUUAGUCCUCAUAGCAGGUAGUGGAGUCAUGGAACGACCUGUGUCCAUCUCAGGAGCCAUAUUUUGAUGGUGAGAAUGCACCUGGCCUUGAUGUGCAAGGUUCACCUCAGGAUGCUUCUGAGGAGAAGAAGCUGCCUUCUGCAAGUCCACAGAAUGUCCAGCCUCUACAGUAAGGUCAGGAUGUGUGAUAUGGACCAUGUCCAGUGGUUGUAUCAUGCCACUGGUCAAUGGUGGAGGCUGAGCUGGACUCCGACCCAGUGAUAUUUGAUUUGCUUUAGCAGGUGAUACCAUAUUUUGAUCUAUAGCCUUCAAGGAUGGCUCUGGAGGCUGAGAAGGGAUUCCCCAAAAAUUCUGGGUGAGUUGAGUCCCUGUAGUAGGUAGAGGCAACACAGCCUGUUCCAGGUUCUCAGGCUGAAAGACGAUAGGAAGUAGAGUUGGCCCCGGAGCCUGCACCUGCUUUGAAUGUUUGAUUUCCACAUCAGGAAGCCUCAGAGGAGAAACUGUAACCUCCUGUAGGGCCACAGAAUGUUCAGCCUCUGUAAUGGCUUUUGGCCUCAUGGUAGGACCCAUAUAAAUUUGUGGUACCACGCCACUGGGGAAUGUUGGAGCCUUAACUUUAUCAACCUGUGAUGUCAGAGUUGUCAUUUCAGGAGCCAUUGUGUAUUUAUCUCCAGCCUUCAUAGAUGGCUCUAGAGGCUUGGAGGAGCUCUGCUGCAUCACUGAAGGAAUUUGAGUUCCUGUAGCAGGUGGUGGGGUGAUGGAAUGCUCCAUGUCCAAAAAUUGAAGUGUGCUGGGAGUGAGGAUGGGGUACUGUGUGUGCACCUGGUCUGGAUGUGCAAGGGUCACCUCAGGAUGCUUCUGAGGAGAAGAAGCUGCCUUCUUCAAGUCCACAGAAUGUCCACCCUCUACAGUAAGGUCAGGAUGUGUGAUAUGGACCAUGUCCGGUGGUUGUAUAAUGCCACUGGUCAAUGGUGGAGGCUGAGCUGGACUCUGACCCAGUGAUAUUUGAUUUGUUUUAGCAGGUGAUACCAUAUUUUGAUCUACAGCCUUCAAGGAAGGCUCUGGAGGCUGAGAAGGGAUUCCCCAAAAAUUCUGGGUGAGUUGAGUCCCUGUAGUAGGUAGAGGCAACACAGUCUGUUCCAGGUUCUCAGGCUGAAAGACGAUAGGAAGUAGAGUUGGCCCCGGAGCCUGCACCUGCUUUGAAUGUUUGAUUUCCACAUCAGGAAGCCUCAGAGGAGAAACUGUAACCUCCUGUAGGGCCACAGAAUGUUCAGCCUCUGUAAUGGCUUUUGGCCUCAUGGUAGGACCCAUAUAAAUUUGUGGUACCACGCCACUGGGGAAUGUUGGAGCCUUAACUUUAUCAACCUGUGAUGUCAGAGUUGUCAUUUCAGGAGCCAUUGUGUAUUUAUCUCCAGCCUUCAUAGAUGGCUCUAGAGGCUUGGAGGAGCUCUGCUGCAUCACUGAAGGAAUUUGAGUUCCUGUAGCAGGUGGUGGGGUGAUGGAAUGCUCCAUGUCCAAAAAUUGAAGUGUGCUGGGAGUGAGGAUGGGGUACUGUGUGUGCACCUGGUCUGGAUGUGCAAGGGUCACCUCAGGAUGCUUCUGAGGAGAAGAAGCUGCCUUCUGCAAGUCCACAGAAUGUCCAGCCUCUACAGUAAGGUCAGGAUGUACGAUAUUGCCCACGUCCAGUGGUUGUAUCAUGCCACUGGUCAAUGGUGGAGGCUGAGCUGGACCUUGAGCCGGUGGUUUUUGGUUUGUUCUGUGAGAUGAUUCUCUACGCUGACCCAAAGCCUCCAUCAAUGGCUCUGGAUAAGAUGUGGUCUCUGGAAAAGCUGGGGAAAGAGGCACCGCUGAAGCAGAUGGGGAAGUUCUGGUCUGUUCUCCCUUCAAAGCCUGAGAGAUGCCAGGAGUCAGGAUUGGUUGCCGAACCUCCCCCUCCUCUAGCUGUGCAAGUGUCACCACAGGAUGCUGCAGAGGAGAAGGUGUAACCUCCUUCAGGGCCACAGAAGGUUCAGCCUCGGUAGUGGCUUUAGGAUUUUGGAUAGGGCCCGUGUCCAUAGGUUGUUCCGUGACACUGGGUGAUGUUGCAAGUUCCCUCAGGGAUGUUGGAGUUUUCAUUCCACGUUGCAGUGUAUAUUGUGCUUCAGCCUCCAUAGAUGGCUCUGGAAGCUGAAUUGAGGUCUGCAAAUAUGGGUGGAGUUGAACCUCUGAAGUAUGGAGAGGAGUUGUGGAGUGCUCCAGGUUCAGAGCCUCAAUGAUGAUAGGAGGAAGGAUUUGUUGCUGAGCCCGUACCUCCCCUUGAUGUGAAAAUGACACGUCCAGAUUUUUCCGAGGAUAAAAUGUAACCUUCUGCAGGGCCACAGAAUGUGCAGGCUCUGUAGUGUGUUCAUCACUUGUGCUAAGCAACAUGUCUAGUGGUGGGAUUGUGACAGGUGUUAAUGUCGGAUGCUGAGUUGGAUACUGACCAGGCAUUGGAACUGGCAGCUCAUUCACUGUUGGCCCUUGUGUCUUAGCAGAGGCUGACUGUAGUACUGGAGAUUGUUCCUUGGGUAUCUCCCCAGAUCUCAGGAUGGAAUUUGGCAAAGGCGGGAGAUGAGUUGCACUGCUCCUUAGGGAUGGAACACUGACCUUUUCAUUCUCUGACAGCUUACCUAAACCUGCCUUGGUAAAAAACUUUUGUUGGCCUAGGGCCUCCUGAUGGAUAAAGGAAGGUACAGUCUCUUCAGCCGGCUGUGAGUCUUGAUAAGGGCCUUCUCCCUCAGGUAGAGAGGACUGGAUUUGGGGAGCCUCUAGAUGUUUAGUCUGGGUCUCCAGCUGGUAGUGGGAUGUUUCCUUGUGCUCACAGGGCUGUGGAGGCUCAGUUGGCUUCUGAAGAUCUCCCAGGUGUAGGCUGUCAUGUUCAGCUUUACCCAUACUGAGAUCCACAGUUUGUUUCUGAAGCUGAGGGUAUUCUGAUUGAUGAGCAGCUCCAAAAGCCUCCUUAGGAAGUUGCCAGUGCUGAGCUAUAUCCUUCAGUUUCAGGAGUGAAACAAACUUUGAUGGUGUUGAACUCUUGCUUCCUAGUAGUAGACGCAAUACAUGUGACUGGUGGUCUGCAGCCUGCUCUGAAGCAGAAAUCUCCUCCUUUCUUCUGACUUGAGAAGGCAGAGCUAGGUGUUCAUUCUCAUGCCCAUCUACCAUUGAAUCCACCUCUGGGAGCCUCUGUGGCCCAACCAGCUUGUCAUGCAGACCCUGAUGUGGAACAGCAAACUUAUCUGGAUCCGGCAGUGACUCUCCAGUUGAUUCCUCAGGUAGAACACAAACUUGUACCAGACCUACUAGGUUGAAAGCUUCAUUCCCCUAUGUCAUUUCAAGGUCCCACCAAGAUCAUUGGAUGGAGGUAAGAGAUUGAUUUUGUUUCAUAGCUUCUGGACUAGAACUUAUUGAAAUAACAAAUUUUUUUUUUGUCUUUUUCCUUUUUAUCGGUACCAGGGAUCGAACUUACGACUGCCUGCUUGCAAGGCAGGUGCUUAUGCCGCUGAGCUAAAUCCCCAGUCCCCUAGGCAAGUGACUCCUGGGACCCUCCCAGACUGAGUGCCAUGCCAAUUCACAAACCGGACUACAUCCUGGAUUAAUUCUUCACUUUUCAACAUUCAGGAACUGCUUAAUUUGUUGCCAAUCGCUCGCAAACAACACCGGCCCAAUUUAUCACAGGGAUAUUUAUGUGAUUCUAAAAACCACCCUCAGCUCACAAGAGUGAACUCAGCUGUGGCAGGCAGCUCAAGAAGAAUCUAUCACAGACAUAAGGCAAACACAACCGAAUGACCUGGAUCUACUGCAGUGCCAGAAGAGGAUCCUAACUGGAACUAUCAAAAUGGAGAAGCAGUGGCACUUGGAGCUCCCAAGACAGGAAAUCCUAAACAAGGUGUGGCUGCCCGAGCCCCGCAUGGACUGUGCUUUAAAUGCAGCAAACAAGGACACUGGGCAAAAGACUGCCCCAACCCUGGCAUUCCUUUAGGGCCGUGUCCCUACUGCAACAUUAAGGGCCACUGGAAGAGUGACUGUCCUAGCUGCCAGUGAGCAGGUAAACCAUCCUCUAACUCCUUGCCCUCACAGGAGACUCCAUCAAUGCCAGAUUCAUCACUGACUGAUCUGCUCGGACUUGCUGCUGAAGAUUGAUGGGACUAGGGGUUCACAGCCCCCACUCCAGUAACCUUGUCAGAGCCCUGAGUCUCACUGGAGGUCUCAGAUAAAAUAAUAUCUCUGCUGGUGGAUAGGGGUGCGACUUAUAGUGUACUUCCUGAGUUUUCAGGACCUUGUAGUAAGUCCUCAAUCUCUGUUGUGGGCAUUGGCGGCCAGCCUACCCAGCCUUUGCAAACUGGGCCUGUCCCAUGCAGAUUCCAGACUCUUUUCUUUACCCAUAGCUUCCUAGUAAUCCCAACAUGUCCCACACCACUUUUAGGUAGAGACCUCCUUCAAAAGCUUAACUUCUCCUUUACUUUCUCCCUCCCCACAGCCCUAAUCCUCCAAAUAGCCUCACAAUGCAUUGCAAAGCCAUUCCCUCCCCUUCCUUUUUCUCUGGUUGACCCCAUAGUUUGGGACACCUCCAAUCCCACCCUUGCUAGUCAUGCCAUGCCUGUUUUAAUCCGUCUCGGGGAUCCUUCAAUUUUUCCUUGCAUUCCCCAAUACCCCAUAGCUCCUCAACCUUUGCAGGGAUUUAAACCCAUAAUUAAGCGCCUUUUAGACAAUGGUUUUCUUAAACCUACCCACCUACCCCACAAUACUCCCAUUCUCCUGGUACUCAAGCCUGAUGGGUCCUAUAGCCUGGUACAGGACCUUAGGGUAAUUAACAGUGCUGUUACCCCCACUCACCCAGUGGUGCCAAAUCCCUAUACCAUGCUUUCUCAUAUCCUUCCCUCCACUACUCACUUUACAGUUAUAGAUCUUAAAGAUGCCUUCUUUACCAUCCCCCUACACCCUGAUUGUCAGGACCUCUUUGCGUUUACAUGGACUGACCCAGACACUUUCAGGUCUCAACAACUUACUUGGACAGUGCUCCCCCAAGGGUUCAGAGAUAGUCCCCACUUCUUUAGUCAAGCUCUUGCUACUGACCUCACAGAACUUGAUCUCAAACCUACUAUAUUCUUCAAUACAUAGAUGACCUUCUGUUAUGUUCUCCAUCCCACAUGUUAGCCAUACACCGUUCAGUCUUCUUAAUUUUCUUGCUAGUCAUGGAUACAGGGUCUCUCUGGCUAAAGCCCAGAUAGCCUCCCCAAAAGUCAAAUACCAAGGUCUUGCUCUCACCCUGACCACAGGUUCCAUCACCACACAUCGUAAGGCAAUCUUCAUGAUCUCCAGGUGCCCACAACUAAACAACAGGUUACAUGUUUCCUAGGUUUAGCAAUUUCUUUCAUCUCUGGAUUCCUAACUUUGCAGCCAUAGCUCAACCCUCUACAAGGCCGCUAAGGGUUCCUUAUCAGAACCCCUGGACUCUACUAGGCCCAUGCAUGCCUCCUUUCAUAAAUUAAAAGAGGCUCUCCUAAAAGCUCCAGCUCUUACCCUUCCUGACACCACCCAACCUUUCACUCUAUAUACUACUUCUCAGGGCCACAACACUAUAGGUGUACUAGGAUACAAAAAGGGACCUUCUUUUCAAGCAGUAGCUUACUUCUCAAAACAGUUAGAUAAUGCAGUAAAAGGAUGGGCUCCUUGUUUCUGAGCCCUUGCAGCUGCAGCCCUCUGACAUAGCAAGCUAAGAAGUUUACAUUAGGGCAAUCUAUUACAGUACACUCACCUCAUCACCUACGUGAGCUUAUCUCACAUGAGGUGCUCUCUGCCCUGAUGAGCCCUUCUCGCCUUCAAUGGGUACAACAAACACAGGCAACAACAACAACAAAAAAGGCAGGAUAUAAAUAUGCAAUAGUUAACCAGUCAAAAGUUAUAGAGGCAAAUCCACUGCCACCUGGCACCUCAUCCCAGAGGGCACAACUUAUUGCCCUUACAAGGGCUCUUACACUAGCAAAAGACAAAAUCAUAAAUAUAUACACCAACUCAAAGUACACAUUUAGCAUUUUACACUCUCAUGCCUCUAUCUGGCAAGAACAGGGUUUUAUUACCACUCAGGGAACCCCCAUCAUUAAUGCUCCCCUUAUCCUUAAACUUCUAGAGGCAGCCCAACUUCCAAAGCAGGCAGCAGUUAUUCAUUGUAGAGGACACCAAAACUCUACAGAUCCUAUUGCUCAAGGCAAUGCCUUUGCAGAUUCACAAGCCAAGUUAGAGCUGCACAAGGGCCCUGCCCUUCUCAUCUUUUCCCGUUAGUCCGAAACAGUCUACCUCAGCCUAAUUAUUCACCAGAGCAGUUACAGCUACUUCAUAAACCAGGUUACACACAAAACACUCAGGGAUGGAUUUUUCAGGGAUCUAAACUUGUUCUCCCGCAUCAACAGACCUCAGACAUGAUCACUGACUUACACAACUACUUUCAUAUAGGAUCACAGGCCCUAUACAAACUCUUAGCCCCAGUAGUCACACAUCCUUGUCUAAAAGCUAUCAUUCUUAAGAUUACUCACACUUGUGAUCUCUGUGCCAAGACCUCUCCUCAGGGACGCAUGGCACCCCCUUCCUUUCCUACCCAGCAGUUUCGAGGACACAUCCCUGGUCAGGACUGGCAGAUAGAUUUUACACACAUGCCCCGCCACAAAACUCUCAAAUAUCUUCUCAGUACCUUUUCAGGAUGGAUAGAAGCCUUUCCCACAAACAGGGAAACUGCUGAUGUAGUUACCAAAGUCACAUUACAAGAAAUCAUCCCAAGGUUUGGUCUACCUCAGAGUAUUCAGUCAGAUAAUGGUCCCGCCUUUAUUUCUCAGCGCACUCAACAGGUAUCGUCGAGCUUACACAUCACCUGGCACCUACACACCCCAUACCAUCCACAAUCCUCAGGGAAAGUAGGAAAGGCAAAGACCUCAUAAAGACACACCUUAAAAAGCUCACUUUAGAGCUACACCAACCUUGGCCUCAACUUUUGCCCUUAGCCUUAGCCAAGCUCAGGGCACUUCCCCAAGUUCCUACCUUCUUAAGUCCUUUUGAACUUAUGUUUGGCAGGCCAUUCUUACUCCACAAUCUUCCUGCUCCCCAAAAUCUCCCUCCGCUUUCUGACUAUGUCCCAGUCCUCUCCUUCCUCCAACACCUGUUGUGACAACAUGCUGAUCUCUGCCUUCCACAACCCUCUGGAGAGACCAAACCAGAUCCUCCCAUAUCCCCAGGAGAUCUAAUUUAUCUCAAAUGUUCUAAAUCCACAGGACUACAACCAAGGUGGAGUGGCCCCUAUCUGGUCUCCUUGACGACCCCAACAGCGGUCAAAGUUGCUGGACUCCCAUCCUGGUUCCACACCACUCAAGCAGUGUCCUCCCAGCCCUAAGUCUAACCAUCCUGAGUGGUCAUCUCAUCUUCUGUCACCCACCUGUCUCCAUUUCACCAAGGCCUCACAGCCACAACUGUCAGGCUAAGUCAUGUUUUGUUGUCCAAUUUGGUGCCUAAUUUUUUACAUUCUAUUAAUUAUCCUUUUUAUAGCAGGACUCUUUUUUUGUUGUUGUUUUGUCUUUUUCCUUUUUAUUGGUACCAGGGAUUGAACUCACGACCGCCCUGCUUGCAAGGCAGGCAGGCGCUUAUGCCGCUGAGCUAAAUCCCCAGCCCUAUAGCAGGACUCUUGACAGUCUUUCCUAAAGACUCCCACAUCGUGCCUAAGAUCUUCGUCAUAUUGUUCUAUGUGACAACUAUCUUAGUUCUCUCUACCCUCUGUUGUUUAGUCAAACAUGACAUCCCUACAGGCCUAGACUCUUACCUUCCUUAUAGUGACACAGCCACAGCUAUCCCCACCCCUCCUAUCCUUUCCAACUCAUCUCCUGGACCAGAGGCAAGUUCUGCCUACCUACACUUUGCUACCUUUUCAGAUGGGAAAAUAAUCGCCUCUCAUUACUUCACUCCUCCUAACCCCACACUUAUUUUUCAGAAUUGCACCUCACCGUGGUAAUGAUUUUACAUAUCUAAAUCAAAGGCACCUUUCCUUCUACCUCUCCUGGGUCCUUGAAUGUGAUAGUGGCCUGCCUCCUCAUAGCGCCUUGUCUCUUUGUUUUUCCAGUCUAAUGUGCAGGCAUUCACCAAUGAUACAGUUGUCCUGGCUGAAACACCUGGCACCAGCUUCUACAUGGGCGUCUGUCUAUAUUUUAUAUAAUAAAUUUUGGGGCCUGUAGGUUGUUUUUUUGUAAUCACUCUAAUCACAUAGACCUUUGUAACAUAUAGUAUAAUUAUGAUGGCACAAAUGCCAUGAGGGUCUAUAUAUAUUUUUGUUUGGGUAUUUUUGUUUAUAUUUGGGAAUAUGUUUAGGGGGAUUGUCUUUUUUUACUUUAGUUUUACUAUUAUUGUGAAAUAUAUAUAUUAUAUCUACUCUCCAGUGUGUUUUAUUACUAAAGUUUUUAUCUCAAUCAGAGUAUCUUUUUAUUAAUGUAUAAUUUUUAUUUGUUUUAGAAAAACAUAAGGGUAUUGAAGUAGACAUUGUAGUGUAAUUAUAUAUAAUAGAGACAGGUUGUAUAUGAGUGGAAGAAGGAAAACUUAAGACCCGGGUAUUACUUAUAUAAACAGUAACAUCAUCGUUGUCACCCCAUGAUAUAGGGUGCAACAAAGGAGGAUUAGGUAUAAAUGUCCAAUAAUUAUCCGCCCGCACAGGCGCUUGAAAUGUAUGUAAAACCCAAAUAAUGCUUAGCAAUUGAGACAAAAACAGAAGGGUUUUAUCUUUUGUCGCCGGAGGCCUUUUGGUCUGUUUUGUCCUUGAGGUCAUAGUUGGUUGAAGCAUCUUUUUGUGUAAUUUUUUUAUCUUGUUUUUGGGCAUGUUGUACACAAUGUUUUGGGGUCCACCUGGGUGUAUUAGCAUCUGUGGGAAAAACACAAACAUAUCUUCUUCUCCAUAUCAAUACUGGGUCAGGGCCAUGUAAUAGAUUAGUUAAUGGGUCUUUUCAAUAAACCAUAGGUUUGGAGGGCAAAUCAGGAGACCAAUGUCUCUCAGCUGUAGAUCUAUUGGAAGCAUCAAAAGUUAAAAAAUUAAGAGCGUAAAGAGUGUGGUUAAGAAGGGUUUGGGGAGAAUACUUAUAUCAUCUCCCCCUUUUUAAUUUUUUAAUGUGUUUUUUAGUGAGAGAUUAGCAUGUUUAACAAUUUUUUGUCUUUGAGGGUUAUAAGGUAAUCUAGUAACAUGUUUAAUAUGGAAAGUCUGACAGAAUUUGGCAAGGGGUUUACUAACAUAUGCUGGGCCAUUAUCAGUUUUACUGGAUCGAGGAAUGCCCAGGAUAGAGAAACAAUAUAGUAGGUGUUGUAUUACAUGGGCGGCAGUUUCUCCAGUCAUAGGUGAGACAAGCAUGUAAUGAGAAAAGGUGUCCAUGGUGACGUGUAGGUAUUUUAAUGACCCAAAAAAAGGAUAAUGAGUGACAUCCAUCUGCCACAUGUCAUUUGGACAGAGUCUUCGAGGGUUGACUCUAAAAUGAGGUACUGGAAGGAGUGGCGCACAUGAGGGACAAUUUUUAACAAUUUUUUGUGCUUGUUGUCGUGUUAUACCAUAUUGAUAACGUAAGACCUUUGUAGCUUGGUGAUGAAGAGCAUGUGACUGUUGUGCUUGUGAAACAGCAGACAGUCUAAUAUGUGUGGCUCGAUCUGUGAUUGUAUUUUUAUGAGUUAAAGUGCCUGGAAGAUUAGAAUGACUGUGAAUAUGUCUUAUAAAACAAGGUGCAGAUGGAGAAUGUAAAGAUGAUUGAAUGAGACCAAAUAACUAUGUAACAAGGAUAUUGGCAGUGUUGGUAACAGGGAUGCAUUUUAAAACAGACAAGGCUUGUAUUAUAUAUUGGCUGUCUGAAAACAAAGGGAAUAUCAAAGAAAAGAAUAAAAGCCUGAUGAACAGCAUAAAGUUUAGUCUCUUGAGCUGAAGCACUCUUCAAUUGUCACACAUAAGUUUGAUUUGGGGGUAUCAAAGUAGCUUAUUUAUUGGAGCUUUUAUCUGAAAAUAAAGUAAUAGCACUAACAAGGGGUUUUGUGUGUAUGAUUUGAGGAAAUAAAAAGGUAAUUUUAGAGGCAAAUUGAAGAAUUUUAUCCUUGGGAUAAUGAUGUUGGAUUUGACCGGUAUAGGAAGCUAGAGAUAGAGGAAAAUAAUCAGUCAUAUUAAGCAGCCAUUUGAGCUGCUCAGAUGUAUAAGGGAUUAUAAUAGAGUGAGGGUCUCUUUUUAAAUGUAUUAUAGACAGGUUUUUUUUUUUGUAUAAUCUUUUUUGUAACCAAAGAGGUGUAAGGGGGGAGAGCCCUUUUUGGGGAAUGUGAACCAUGAAUCUAUGAGAGAGCUCUCUGUUGAUAUAAUACACCUGUAGGAGAAAAGGACAUGGGUAUGAUGAUAAGGGACCAAGGAUUGGAAUAAUCACAAUAGUGAAGCUGCGCACUUUGAAGAGCUUUAUUAACCAGUUUAAGAGCUUUGCGAGCUUUUGCUGUUAUUUGGCGAGGUGAACUUGGGUUAGAAUCUCUAGCUAAUAAGGAAAACAAUGGGUGGAGGUCUUGAGUAGUUAACUUUAGAGAUGGCCGGAUCUAAUUAAUUUUAUCCAAGAGUUUUUGAAAAUCAUGUAGCGUAUGUAAGUGAGAAGUAUUAACAGACAAUCGUUGAGGAGAAAAAUGCCGUGAAUAUAAGUGAAAACCUAGAUAAGAAUAAGGAGGUGAAGUUUGGACUUUUGUAGGUACGAUGACCAGCCCAUUAUUUGUUAAAUCUUAGUGAAGAGAGGCAUAUAUUUGUAAAAGCAUCUCAGAAUCUUGAUGGGCUAUUAAAAUAUCAUCUAUAUAAUGAAUAAUGGUGGCAGAGGCAAAUUUGGAUCUGGUAUUGGCAAUGGCUGUAUGUAUAAACUUUUGGCACAGGGUGGGGCUAUUAGCCAUAUCUUGAGGUAAUGUAGUCUAUAUCUUUUUAUAGGUGAAGACAAAUUAUAGGAAGGAAUAUUAAAAGAAAAUCUCUUGUAAUCCUUGGGGUGGAGAGGGAUAGUAUGAAAACAAUCUUUAAACUCAAAAACAAUACGAUGAUGUGACAGGGGUAUUGUCAUAGGUGAUGGAAGUCUAGGCUGAAGAGCUCCCAUAGGAAACAUAGUAUUAUUAACUUUUUUAAGGUCUUGUAAUAAUCUCUAUUUUUAAAAUUUUUUUUAUCACAAAUAUAGGCGAAUUUUAGGGGGAGGAAGAAGGUCAGACAUGACCACAGACUAACUGUUUUUGUAUUAACUGUCUGGUGGCUUGGAGCUUAGCCUCAGGCAGGGGCCACUGAUCUAUCUAUACCGGUGUAUCAGAUUUUUAAUUAAUUUUAUCAGCAUGGAUAGCAGGACAAUCAGCGGCCGCUAAGAAAAACCCAACCCCUGUUUAUCAUUUUUUUGUGGGAUGCAUAAAGGGUCUUUGAUACCCUGAUUAUUUUUUUUAUGUCUGCAAAUGGCAAUUGGUCCAUUUGCAACAUCUGUUUGGUCACAGUGGGACUUGGACUUUGUAAGUAUACUCUUAGUUGGCUUAGUAUGUGUCGUCUCUAUAAAUUUAGGGGAAGAUUAGGUAAAACAUAUGGUUGGAAUUUUUUAGUAUGUCUCUCUAAAUCAGUCUAGGAUAAUAUAGAAGAGGACUUAAAGGGAGCAGGAGCUUGUCCAAUUUUUUGGAGAAUGGCAGGGGCAGGAUCUAAUGGCCGGGAUGAAGGCCAAUCUUGUUGUCUUAUAACAGAAACAUCAGCCCUUGUAUCUAUUAUUUUAAGAAAAGGGUUUUUUUUUGUAUUUUUAGUAAGCACUCUGGCCUUUUAUCUUGUAUUUGUUGAAUAAGAAAAGCAUCAGAGGAGCCAAACCUUUGGGUGUCUCGUUUUUUUUUUUUAAGCAUCUUUUGUUUUUUUUAAUAAGGGGCAACAAUAAUAACUGUGCUAUAUGGGUAUCUAGGAGUAUAUUGAUGACUGUUGUAUCAGUUUUAGCCAUAACUUUAAUUUUUUUUUAUAAUCUUGAUCUAUCAGUCUAGUAAAUCUAUUUUUUUUAAUAAUAAUCCCCAAUUGUUUGGAGGUAACGGGCCGUAAAUACCGGUAGGUAUCAAUUGGACUCUUAGCUCUGGGGUUAAUAUGAUGUGGGUGGAGGAACUGAGGUCUAAUCUUGUGUUUUUUGGAGUUGUUUUGGAGAGGUCUGAAACCGAUUGUUUUUGGGUUAAUUGUCCCGAAGAUUUGUUGUCGGGCCUGGGGCUGGCCCCUCUUGGAGUUUUUUUGUUGGGGGGGGGUAGUAGAUUGUCUUUUUUUUAAUCUCUUUUAGAAUAACAUUUAUUAGCCCAGUGAUCUUUUCUUUUUGUAGCGUGGACAUAACCCUGGGGCUUUUGGCUUUUUAUCAAUUUUAACUUUAUUGUUUGUAUUAUUAUCAACUUUUGGGGGACCAGAGCAUUGUUUAGCAAUGUGUCCCUUUUUUUAUAAUUAUAACAGCUUUUUGGAGUGCCAUGGGUAUAUUUUUUGUGUUUGUUAUGUUGUAUUGUCAGACAUUUUUGUAAGGUUUGCCCCUUUAGAGCAGCUGCCAUAGACAGCCUUUGGAUGUACCCUGUUUUUAUGUCUGUAUAGAGUCUGACAUAGUUACUUAGGGUACCCCAACCCUUUUAGGGUCAAAGAGCUGUUUGACAGACUGUAUUGGCAUUUUUAAAAGCCAAUUUUUUUAUUAAUAUAUUGCUGGUUUUUUGAUCACUUAUCAAUCAUCUAGCAGCCUGAAGGAGGCGAGAGACAAAAUCUUGAAAUGGCUCAUCAGGGCCCUGUUUAAUCUUGUUUAAUUUUCUCUUUUGAUCUAGACUGAGGUAACUUUUUUUAGGCAGCCAAAGCAGCCCAUUUAAUUAAAUCAUAAGCGUAGGCAGGAUAAUUUAAUUGUGCACCUAAAGCCAUAAAGGCCCCUUUUUUUUGAAGUUGGUCUAAUGAAAUUUUAUUAUUGAUUGUAUUAUCAUCUAAAGCAUAGCCUGUAGUGGUCUCUUUAUAUUUUGACAGCCAAAGAAGAUAAUCACCACCAGUUAACACAGCCUUAGCUAACACUUUUUAAUCUUGAGGUGGCAAGGCCUGACUCGCUAUAGAUUUAAGAAUAGACAUACUAAAAGGAGCAGUAGCCCCAUAUUGUGUAGUAGCCAUUUUUAAUUUGUUGAUAUUUUUAAAAGGAAAGCCUUUAUGUUUAUUAUAUGGUUGUCUCUGUGUUAACCCUUUUUAUUACUGGAUAAACCUGAAGUCUUUUCAGGUUUUUAUCUUGUCUCUGUUUUUUGAAGUGCGCGCUGCAAGGGGGGGAUGUUACCGCAGGCGCGAUAGGGCGUGUGGGUACAGGCGGGGACAACAAGGGCAGUGGUCUACAUCUUAUUUGGGCAACGAGAGGCGUUUUAGAGGCCUCAUGUUGAUCAAAUAAAGGUCUAGCCAAAGAAGAAGUAUUAUAACUUUUAUGUUGUUGAUCUCUUAACUUAGCCUUAGAUAACCUUUGAAUAUAUCAGACAAUUUUUUAAAUGUUUUAAUCAAGUUUUUUAGGCUCUCUGUUGGUUUUUUAUAUUGUGGGUUUGCCUGAUCUUGAAGCAUGAAAGCUUCAUGUUGAUGUUUAUAUUGGGAGGCUUUAUGUUUUAACUCUUUUUAUUAUUUUGGACCGAAUUUUUUGUUUGAAUCUGAAUCAGCUUUUUUAUCAGAGUAUCAGACUUGUAAAUUAUCAGGCCUGUUGUUUAUCUCAUUAGUCGUGGGGUGGUCGGGCUGCUCGUAACAGGGCAGCUCAGAGAGUGGUGGCGGAGCAGAGGGCAGGGGUGGGUAUAAGGAGGAUGUCACAUUUUUUUGUGGAUUUGGUUUUUUUUAUAAAACUUUUUUGAGUUUUUUUUUUAAUUUACUAAACUCAGAGUCUCUUUUUAAACAGUCCUUAAUUAGAGUCUAAAUCAGAAACACAUCUAUAGGAACCUUUUUAGGACCACAAGCACAAUAAUAAUCUUUAAUCUUUUUUUAUUGCCCUUUAUGUCUCAACAUUAACCGUUUUUUGUUUUGGAAACCAGGGGCAAACCUGAUGCACAAAAUCAACAAACCGAUGAAUUUGGAGUUUAGCUACGGGAAUGCCCCUACUCUUUAACAAAGAGGAAAUAACUUGUUUAAAAAGUUUCCGUUUUGAAGAUGGGGAAUUAUCCAUUUCUAAUCUCUGUGUAUAUGUCACUCUCUGUUAUUUUUGCUUUUACUAACCCGGGUCCUCGUAGCAGCGGUCUUUUUGAAACUCUCGAUUUUUUUUUUUUUUUACUGGAAGAACGCUCUGAAUGUUUGUGCUCAAGCCCCACGUUGGGCGCCAGGUGCCACGGCCAGCACGGGGAAGGAGUUAGGCAGGAGACUGAAGACGCAGGGAGACCGAUUGCUCAGGAGGCAAAAGGCGAUUUAUUAAAGAACUCCAGAGUUUUUAUAGUGUUUCAAAACAAAGAACAGUACAAGUCACUUUAGGACAUUUUUCUGUGCGUGCAGCCAAGGUAAACAUGUUUUUGGGCCGAUGAGAAACUUUUUUGUUGUGCAGCCCAGAAGGUAAACAUGUUCCUGGGCCCAUGAGAAACUUUUUUGUUUAUGUUAUGAAGCUAUUCCCAGGUUAAUAUUAGCAUGAUGCUUUGUCUAGAAGGCUGAGGUUACUGUAGGAUAAGGAACUGGUUGAGGUCCAGCUUUAGUGUGUGGUUUUUCCACACCCAUUCACUGCCGGACCUCUGGUUCCUGCUCCCAAUAGGCAUCAACCGUCAUCCUGUCAACCCUCCUAAACCCAAAGCAGCUCCAAGGUUCCUGAGUGAAAGAGGGAAGGGUCGUCCAGUCACAGUAGACAGCUGGCAGUUGGACAGUAGACUGGGCUGAAGUCUGUGGAGAAGUAGGAGCUGGGACCAUCCAGACUCAGUUCCACUGGAGGCCAAAAGCCAGUCUUAACCCUGGCUAUGACAGGAAGAAACCGUCUGCUCUGUGACCAGUGGCCCAAGCAGGCAAGCAGCUCUGGCCAGCGAAGGGACACGUGAGUGGCAUGGCCAAGAUCAACCCUGCAUCCCGCAGAAAUCCUACUAUAGACUUGGUGUGGUUGCUCAGUAUAGAUUCCAGCUCCGAUGAGUGAACUAACACAGAACUGGAGCCACCAGAAGAAUUUUGUUUUGAAGGUGGUGGUUUAGGUUUGGACUUUAUCGCUAGGUUUGUUUUCUCUGUCCUGUCUUCAUUCUUUCUCUCCUGUUCUCUUCUCUAGCUCCCAGAGUUUGGGUGGGUCAUCCUUUGUCCUUCAGCCUUGCUUAUAGUAUAUCUCUCUUCAGCUAUUGCUCUGUCAGGGGCCCUAUCUCUCUAAAGUUCCCUUCCCCACAGGGUAAAAUCACUCCUUCAAGGGGAAACUCACUGUGUACAAGUCCCUGGUUUGUGUUGCAUGCAGUUAUUUAACUGUAGAUCUUGCUCCCAGGGUUAGAUAGCGAAUUAGCAGUUACCACAGACUGAUUUCUAGGCUGUGCUUGAUGAUGUUACAGCUAAUUGUACUACUUUAGCCAGGAUGCCAUAUUCAUUGUAAUAGUGGUUCACCUUGUAUGAUGAUUGCGAUGUUUUAAAAUUUAUUAUCAUUUUUUUUCAGUACUAGGGACUGAACUCACAGCCUCUUCCUUCCCAGCCAGGUACUUAUGCCACUGAGCUAAAUCCCCAGCAUGAUGAUUAUUCAGUGUCAUAAUCACUGUGAUUAUUCAGUGUCAUAAUCAUUCCCACAGUCCAGAACUAAAGGACUGGGUAUAAGCCAUACAGAUGGUAACUCACCAUCCCUGAUAAAGUGGAAAGGUAGGACCUUGGGACAGACACAAAGACCAACAGCCAGCUAUACCUAGAAGGCAUCUCAGAGGAAUAGAUGUUUCCGAGACAAUCCCCAAUACCAGCGAUAAAGCUACCUAACAGAAGAAAAUUACAAAUUAAAAUUUAAAAAAUAGAAAAUGACAAGACACAGAAGCAAAAUGCAAUCCCAGCCUUGCAGCCCACCCAGGACAAAUCGAGGGGAAAAUAAGACAAGAAAACAGGUCAUUCACCCGAAUCUUCUGUAGGUUGUUUCCAAGAUUUGGCUUUUAUAAACUGUUGCUAUAAAUAUGGAUAAACACGUGGAAAUAAAAUAUCAACCUACUGAACAACCCAUGUGUCACAGAUUAAAGUGAAGAAGAUAUAGAGUAUUCACAGUUGAAUGAUAAUGACAAUACACCAUGCCAAACUUAUGGGACACAAUGAAAGCAGUCUUAAGAUGGAAAUUUAUAGCAGUAAGUACCCAUGUCAGGAAAACAUACCAAGCACAUACAAACAACUUAAUGUUGAAACUUAAACUUCUAGAAAAACAACAGGCUUAAACCAAAAGCUCAUAUAAGGAAGGAAAUUAUAGAGAUCACAGCACAAAUUAACAUACUAGAUAAAAACAAUACAAAGAAUCAAUGAAUCAAAGAGUUGCUUCUUGGAAAGAUUAAAUAAAACUGACAAACUAUUAGCCAAUCUUAUCAAAAAAAGGAAAAGACCCAAAGGAACAAAAAUUGCAACAGACUGCAGAAAUCCAGAAAACUAUCUCUACCUGCUUUGCAAACUUGUAUUCUAAUAAAUGGAAAAUACAGAAGAAAUGGACAGAUUCCUACAUACAGAUGAAUUGCCAAAGCUGAAUCAAGAAGAUAUAAAAAUCCUAAGUAACACAAUAUCCAUAAAUGAAAUUAAAGAUGUAGGUGCUGGGGAUUCAGCUCAGCAGCAUAAGCGCCUGCCCUGGAAGUGCUGUCAUGAGUUUGAUCCCUGGUACAGAAAAGAAAAGAAGGAAGAAAAGAAAGAAAGAAAAAAGAAAAGAAAAGAAAGAAAGAGAAAGGAAAGAAAAGAAAAGAAAGAAAAAGAACGGAGAGGCCAGAGGUGUCCAGGAAUGCUUGUGCAUAGCUAUAUUCCCAGCACUCAGGAGGCUGAGAAAGGAGGAUCACGGAGAGUUCAAGGCCAGCCUGAGCUGCACAGUGAAAUGAGAGAGAGAGAGAAUGUUGAACAAUUAUGAAGUUGGAAUGCCAACCACUGAAGUUUAGGAAACUAUUAAUGGCAAAGCCCAGCUAGAGCUGUAGCUCAAUAGCAGAGCGCGUGGUUAACAUGCACAUGGCCCUGGGUUCCACCCCAGCACUGAAUGAAAACCAGAAAGAAAGCAAAACCCAGUACAGGGCUGGGGAUAGAGCUCAGUGCCAUAGUACUUGUCUGGCAAGCACGAGGUCUCAAGUUUGAUUCUUGGUACCAAAAACACCCAAAAAAGCCAAAUAUACAAUGUUAGCUGCACUUUCCCACCAUCCUUCUGUCUCCACGUGCCAUCAUCCUCUGUUCAGAAGGGAAAAGAAAUGCUUUGCUGACCAGAGACAAGGUUUUAUUCCUUAUUUAUUAUGGAGUUUGGACCAAGAAUCCAGUGAGGGAAGAAAUCCUAGGAGUCAUCUUCCCAUUCUAAUUAGAGUGUAACUAGUUAUAGCUGAGAGAAUUCAUGAGUCUUUGUGACUAAAACACCAAAACUGAAAACUCAGAUGAUUAUUUAUCCAGCAGAUCUUUGUCAGUGUUAGACACUGAAAGGCCACCAGGAAAUUGAGGAUGAUCCCUGCCACCUCAAGUAGGUGCCUGUCUACCUAGAAAGAAAAGACUUCUGCCAUGACAGUAACUGCAGAGCCACGUUACGCAGGUGCCAAACACUUAGCCAUGCAAAAAAAAAAAACGGCAGCUCCUGGUACCUGGCUGCUGAAUCGGUGGCCACUGGCUCCAUCUUUCCCAGCAACAAGCAAGACAGAACAGAACAUUUUAAGUGAGCAAUAAAACUUGCAGACUCAUUAUUGUAGCAUCUACCAGAAUCUGUAGCUUGUACUUUUGAUUCUUUCAAUGAUUAUUUUCAUUCUACAUGUUUUUUGUUUGUUUUCCCCUCUGCCAUGCCACUCUCCAGAUGAUUCUGUUGUGAUAGUUUCUUUUCUUUCUUUCUUUGAGACAGGGUCUCGCUCCAUAGUUCAGGUUGGCCAUGAACUUACUAUGUAGCCCAGUUUUACCCAUGGCAACCCUUCUGCCUCAACCUCACAGGUGCUGAGACUAUGGAUCACUAUAUCUGGAUUCUCAGGCAGGGAUUUAGCUCAGUGGCAUAAGCACCUGACUGGCAAGCUCGAAGUCAUGAGUUCAAUCCCCAGAACCAAAUAAAAUAAAAUUCUUUAAUGCCAAUCUCUUUGUUGUAGAUCAGUGAUUCACAAGCCAACUCCACAAGUUACAUCUACCACUUUCAACUGAAAUGCGGCCUCUGAUAAAACACAUCAUCUUGUUAUACAAAGUGUGUCAGGAACAGGCAAUCAUGUGGCUCUCAUAAUUAUACUGAAUUUUAAUCACCAGCAUCAAAGAACCAGUAACGGACUUUCCAAAGAAUCUUACUUUGGCCCCUGAGCACACAGCCCCACGCAUGCACACACCACACUUACUUGCCAUCUGGUGCAUCUCCUCCAUACGUGCUCUUAUCACAGAUCGGUAGUUCUUACUCCCUGAACCAAUCUAUGAAAAAUGAGAACACAUUCAGGUUAAAUCUGGAGCAUCUUGUGGUUCCAGAGAGUAAGAGAGAGCUCAAUAAAGGUGAGAACUUGCUGAAGGAAGGGCAGCUCAACCUGAAGUCUGACAUAAUCCAAAGAUGGAAAAACCUGAAUGACACGAUAAAUAUGCUAUAAUUCAUGCUCUAAAAUAAAUACCGGAAUCUAGGCUGCUGUAGAUGAGAUUUAUUGAUAAUCACUAAAAUGAAUGGCUAACAUUUAAGGAGAAACAGGACUUACAUCAGCUCAAAGUUCCUUCCCUAAAGCACUCAUUAGAGACAAAGAAAAAUAGUUAACUUUUCAGUGAAGAAAUGACAUAAAUCAAGUGAUUGUCGUCAAGGUCACCCAAGAACAAAUGGCCACUUUGGUGCUAUCCUCACUAAUACAUGCUUGUCCAAGAAUGAGAAACCUCUGACGAACACAAACUGACAGAUGUUCCAUGAGACAACGGAUCAAUAUUCCUCAAAGUAGAAGGUCAUGAAAAAGACUGAGGGAGGGAAAAGGCCACCUCAGAAGGGAAAACCAGCAAAACAGAACUCGUCUUCAGUUGAGCAUACAGAGUCAGUGUCAAUCUUUGCAUCCUAGUUUUAAUAAUGACAUAAUACAAUUAUAUAAGAGAUUAAGAUUAGGGAAACUGAGUAAUAAAACAGAAACCAUUUUUUUAAACUUUUCUGGAAAUCUGGACAAAAUAAGUAAAUUAAAUAAAUAUGAAACACAACUAGUUCAAGCCAGACAAGGUGGUACACGCCUGUAAUCCCAGCACUCUGCGAAACUGAGGCAAGUAGAUCAAUCACAAAUUUGAGCCCAGCUUGAACAACUUAGUGAGACCCUGUCUGCGGGUGAGUUAAGGUAGAAGCUAGCGGGGGAGUGGGGAUGAGAAGAGACAAGAGACAAGAAUGGCGACAAGACAGGAUUCUGAUCAAGUCUCGUUGAUUCAAAGAAAGAGUAAUGAACACAUAGGGUAUUGGGGGAAGAGGGAGUUGGGUUCUGAGACAUCAGCAGGUGACCUAUAAACAGUGACAAGACCAGGGGUUAUGGGGUAAUUCAAAUCUCCCCUGCUUGGGUUCAUAAGGCAGGCUGAUUAGCAUAAUCCCCAAAUGGGCCAAACAGGCUAGGCAAGGAGAGAAGCUUAACUACCAAACGGAAAGUUAACUCCUGGAGGAGGUUAAGGUGGCUGCUGCCUGCAGAUAUAAGGCGGCAGCCAAUUACAGGGCUUCCCACACUGUCUCAACAUAAAAAAAUAAACAGAAGGGCUGGAUCUGCAUUCUUAGGGACAGGAAUUUAGCUCACUGGUAUAAGUGUCUGCCUGGAAAGUGCAAGGUUAUCAGUUCAAUUCCUGGUACCAAAAAAAAGGCUACAGAUGAACCUCAGGUUGAUGGCCCUGGUGCAACUUGGCCCUCCAUACUAAAACAAAAUCAAACCAGGGAAAUGAAAGAAUGAAGCAAAGGGGUUUUUUGGUAGCUGGUAUUAAAUUCAGAACCUCACUCUUUCCAAAGAGGUGCUGUACCACUGAGCUAAAUCCCCAGCCUCAAAAUGAAGCAAAUUAACAAGAAAACAAAACAAUCAUUUUUCAAUUUGGCUUUGGUGUUUUCCUGAGGCAGAGUCUCGCUACAUUGUCUAUGCUGGCCUUAAACUUUCUAUGCUUAAACCGGGUAUGGUGGCACACACCUUGGAUCCCAAAACUCAGGAAGGCUGAGGGAAAAUGAUCACUGUGAGUUCAAGACCAGCCAGGGCUACCAAGUGAGCUCAAGGCCAGCCUGAACUGCACAGUGAGACUGUCUCAAAAAGACUGGGCAGGGCAGGCAGGCGGGGAACCUCUCUAUCCUCUUGCCUCAGCCUCCCAAAUCCUGGGGUUACAGGAGAGUACAGGAGAGUGCUUGGAGUACAGGUUUACACCAUCACAGCCAGAUGAGACAUAGCUUUCCACUGCAAGAAAAACAUUUCUUCUAGAAGGCAAGACUUAAAGCCCACUCAGUGACUUCAUUUCAAAAUGAGUAAUAGGUUGAUAGAAUGAGGCACAGUGGCAGAGAUUUUCCCAGCCAGCUCAGGUCACUGGUUCCAUUCCCAGUUCCAUAAAAACUAUAAAGUCAAAGAGAAUAGUAGUGCCCAGGCCUGGUAGCCCUCACACAUAAUCUCGACUGCUCACAGGACUAAGGCAGAAAGAUCCCAAGUUCAAAGCCUGUCUGAGCAAUUUAGCCAGACUGAGAUUUUAAAAAGAACUAGUAAGUAGCUCUGGGUUCAAUCCCUAGUACCAGGAAAAAAAUAAGCAAAACAAAAUUUUCUAUUCAGUUUGCACCACUGGUGAUCAAACGCAAGGGUAAUCUCCCACUGAACUACAGCAUAGUCUUUUUUGAGACAUAGCUUUGCUAAAGUGCCCACAGGAUGGGUUGGAACUUGAUAAUCCUAUUUUAGCCUCUGGAGUUUCAGAAAGAAGUCGCCAAAGGUGACAUGGUUUGGUUUUAUUUGGAGAGAGGCUCUAUAAGUCUCAGGUUGGCUUUGAAUUCCAGGCAAUCCUCCUGCCGCAGUCUCCAGAUUGCUGGGAUGACAGACAUGUGACACCACAUCCAGCCAUAGCUUUUAAAAUUCAUUUUAAUAUUAAUUUUCAAAUCUCCUAAUUGGACCAUAUUCACUGACUCUUGUGCUGACUUGCCCUUUUGAAAGGGUAAGUAAACUAAAAAUAUAAACUGAUAAAGGGCCUGGGGACUUAGCUCAGUGGCACAAAUCCUGAGAGCCAUUCCCAGUACCAUAAAUAAAUAAAUAAACAAACAAACAAACUAGCCAACUCACUGAGCCUUUCUGGAUUUUCCAGUCAAUUCUCCUUCAAUCUCUGAAGGCCCACAAAGAUUCCAUGUGAUUCAUUGAAGAGUUUCCUUAAAAUUUUAGAAUAAGCAUCUACAUCCUUCCGGAUCAUAUAGACAAAGGGGCAGCCUGGUACCACCUCACAUUUUUCUGAAACUACGCAGAAAAAAAUACUGUGACAUUUAUCAUCAUCUCCCUCAAAAGAAAAGCCAUUCAGAGCCAAAUGCAAGCCUGUAAUCCUAGCAUUCCUAAAGUGGGCAUGGUGGUUUACCCCUGUAAUCCCAGUACUCGGGAGGCUGAAGCAGGAGGAUCUCUUCGAGUUCAAGACCAGUCUAGGCUACAAGUGAGCUCAAGUCCAGCCUGAACUGCAUAGAGACUCUGUCUCAAAAACACAAAUCACAGCACUCCUAGGCUGAGGCAUGGGCUGGGGAUAUAGCUCAGUGGCACAUUUGCUUGCCUGGUAAACACAGGCCCUGAAUGUGAUCUGCAAUAUUAAAAAAAAAAAAAAAUAGAAGACUGAGGCAAAAGGAUUGCCUAAAAUUUAAGGUUAUUCUGGGCUACACAGUGAGUUCAAAGCCAGCCUGAACAACAGAUGGUAGUGAGAACAUAUGUCAAACAAACAAAACAAACAAAACCUUUAGUUAGCUCAGUGGGUGUGAAGGCAUGACCUACUAUCAGCUACUCUGGGGGUGAGACAGGAGGGCAAAACAUUAAAGGCCAGCAUGGGCAAUUUCAUGACACCCUGUCCAUAUUGUCUCAAAAUUAAAAGAGAAAAAAAAGCUGGGAAUGUAGCUCAACAGUGGAGACACUGGGUACAAUCCCCAGUAUAUUCAGACAGACAGACAGAUGGUGCUUUAGCUCCCGGGCUACUAAUUUCAUUUAUAAACACUAAAGUUUAAAUCAAGUGUGGUAAUGCACAUCUAAUACCAGUGCUCUGGAGGCUGAGGCAGGAGGACUACCUUGAGUUCUCGGCCAGACUGAACUACAUAGUGAGAGCCUGUCUUAAAAUCCCUAAAGUGUAAUUUCCAUUUAUAUAAACUAAAGUCAGGGGCAGAAUGCUUGCCUACCCCAACAUCAAUCCACAAGGCCACUGCUGCAAGACCUGACAUCCCCACUGCACACAAAGGGACAUCUAAAGAGGAACUGAUUACAAUUUAUCGAUGACCUACACACCAUGAAUUUUACCUUUUAAUGCUAGAGUUGAACCUAGAACUUGGUACAUACAAAGCAUGUGCUCCGUCACUGAGCUAUAUACCCACUUUGUAUAUAUGAUUUUUUUGGUACUCCAGAUUGUAUGCUGUAUUUUUUUUCCCUUCUUUUUUAGGGGAGUACUGGGGAUUGAACUCAUGACCUCAUGUGUGCCACGCAGGCAUUUAUGCCACUAAGCUAAAUCCCCGGCCCUAAAUGCUGUAUUUCUUAAUACAGAAUUUCUCUUUUGCAUGGCAAACUCAUUGAUCUUUCUUUUCUUUCACUGAAGGAACUGAGGGCCCACUGUGCACAAUGUACUUAAAAAAUAUGAGUAAACCACAGCCUCCACCCUCAACACUGCUAUAAAAAUACUGAAGACAAGUCCCACACAAACUACAGUGCAUCUAGUGAGAAUGGACACGUGUCAAGGAGCAGUUUUGGAAAGCUUAAGUAAAACAGGUUUUAUUCCUUUGAUGAAUCAACUUUUCUUAAUUUUAAGCAGGUCAUACUACAAAAAGUGUGGGCCUUAUAUACAAUAAGAAAUAUACAAUAGUAUUCAAUUUCCUUGCAUGUAAAAGGCAUCACAUUUUUUUUUUAUCUUUUUCCUUUUUAUCAGUACCAGGAAUGGAACUCAUGACUGCCUGCUUUCAAGGCAGGCGCUUAUGCCGCUGAGCUAAAUCUCCAGCCCCUUGCAUCACAUUCUUACCUUCAGUCUUUGCCAAAACACUGAGGUAGGCACUAUGUAUGGCUUUGCUUUAAAAAGAUAAAUGAAUGGGCUGGGGAUUUAGCUGGGCAUAAGCACCUGCCUGACAAAUGGGAGGUCAUAAAUUCAAUCCCCUGUACAAAAAAAAGAAAAAGUAAACAAACAAACAAACAAAAAAACCAAGCUAUUAAUUGCCCAAAGGCACCCUCUGCUCAAAGAGCUGUGACUCAAAUGCAGCAGUCUACUCUCUGAUGGGAUUUUCAUCGUACUAAACGAGAGAAUAUAAAGUAAAAAUGGCCUUUAUUCUAAGAACGUGGAGUGAAACUCCAUGACCACUGGGGGCCUUGCUUUCUUGGCCAGAAACACGGUGUGAGGGGCAAUCGGGUGGUGCAAAUGGGUAAGUUGUAUAGGGGCGGGGAAAGUGACCUCAAGGUAAACAUCCCUUGGUCCUGCCUCCCAUUGCCAUAAUAUCUUAUCUAGGGCAAAAUUCUUACACUCUCUAGUCCCUUUUUGAUAUUUUAUGCACUGAUUCAAAUACGUUGACUCAUUAUUAUAUGUGGAGUAUCCUACUGGGAAAUGAGCACAGAGCAAUAAACAAGACUAUUCCUAAAGCUCACCUUCAGAUUCAAAACAUUUGCUUUCUAACAAAUACAGUAAUAUAAUUACAGAUUGUAUAUGGUAUAAAAGAAAUAGGUGAUGUGACACAAUCACUGGCAAAGACAACUUCCAUUAGGGAGCUAUAGAAAGGCUUCCUAUCAUUUCCUUCUGUUCACAAACUCAGGCUGGCCACACAGGCAAACCAGGACCCAGAGAGCAAAAGGUAGGAGAAGACAGACCACGGCGAGUGAAAAUGAAGUGGCGAGGAAAAUAAAGGUGGAAACAGACUUGUAAGUCACAGUGAGUUGAUGAAGCCCCCAAGCUGGGGCUGAAAGAGGAGCUGUGGCUUCAGAUAACACACCUUGACAUUUUGGAUAAGGACAGUAUAAACACAGCCUCUGACUAGAGCAAGAGAAUAGGGUUAGAAGACUUAUCCAAACUGAGGGGCUGGCGUCCUCAAACUUUAUUAUGGGGAUAAGCAUAACCAGACAAAAGAAAGAGUAGUUUCUCUACAAUAAGUCUCAUUUGGUUAAUUUCUGGCAAAACAACGUGUGUUUGCAAGAUAAAGAACGACAGGAGAGAAAUGAAAGAGACUACAUUGGACUGCGUCACAAAUUUUUAAAACUCACCAUUCCUGAGGUGGUAGCAGGAAUGGAGAGAGAAAGCUGUUACAGCCAUUCUGAAUGUGUUUGACACAGAUUCAAAAUGGGACCUCAAAGAUAGCUGCAGACUCCAACGUGGAGUAUGCCAAUCCCACCACACUAAAUAUAACCGAACAUGAAGACAUUUAUUCCACAAAAUGCAAUGAUUCGGUGUUUUCCCUGCUGAACAUCACCUAUCCUUAAUUAAUAUGGUUUCCUAUUACUUUAAGACUUUACCACAGAAGUGCUGGCACAUAACUCUCACUACAAAAUGCAUAGUGUGAUUCCUGAAAAUGGCGGCUGGCUAGGGGAUCAAGCGAAGAGUCUCUCCGGAGAAUUCACACUAGAAGCUAAAAAAAGACAACACGGAGAGGGCCAGACAAAUCGAUAGCGAUUCUUAUUAACCAAGACAGUAUAGCUGGAGGAUUUAAAGUCAAGCUGAGACCUUGAAUGCUGAUAACGGGAAGCUGCAAACCCCGCGCCUUUAAAUCAACAAGCUGACCCGUGGACCCAGCAGGGAAAGAUGAGUAGCUUUUGGGGACUGCAGGAAACUGAGACCCAGGCCGGGACUCCAAGUAGCAGCCAAGUCUGCACCGCUGCACCAGAGCGGAUGUACAAAGCUCGGGCGUUUCAAAUUUAAACGGUGCACAGAUAUCUGACCGGUCAGCGCUGUGCUGGGAGCGCACGCUGUGCACCGCCCCGCGCUGUCCCGGGAGUGCGGGAAAAGUGGGCAGCUUGGUGUGCGGUGGUCCAGGAAUGAGGACUUGCACCAGACUCUGGUGAGUAUCGGGAACCCCGCGGCUGCUGGGGUUGGCCAGAGAACAGCUGGCCCACCACCACGGGGAAAUCAAUAACACAGAGUCUGGUGCAGACAUAUUAGCCUGGCGGCAGAAACUGCAGCGUGGUGACAUUACCAGGUCCCCCUGAGGGGAGGGUUGGUGGAAGACAUCUUGAAUCCUGGCAGAGCCUGGUUACUUGCUGGCUUCAGCUCCACACAGAGAACUUAGUGGGAGACAUCUUAUUUUUGGGCGGAGCUGCUAUUCUGGUGCUGCUGUCACAGAGAGGUUUGGAAGAGAAUGGCUGGGAUUUGGGCAGAAACUUGUGCCAUAGUGACAUUACUCAGCUGCUUCUGGUACAAAGAGAAUUGGCAGGAGCUACUGGGGCUAAACCAAGCCUCUGCUUGGGGCCCAAUAAGCAGAUACAAAAUAACUACAACUCAGUGACUACCAGAAAGUACAGCCUAAUUUAUGAACUAACUGACACAGAGGCUAGAGACUAGCCUGUACCGCCCCUGCAUCCCAGCCUACCCCAGAUAACAGUAAAUUGGGGAGGACAGCAAAAACUCAAGCCAGCAUGCUUCUGAAAGGCCCUAAGCAAUUCGGAGAGGGCCAGAGAACUCCAGGACAGUCUGAAAGAAACCAGAAACAUGACAAGAGAUAAAAAAAAAAAAAAAAAUCUUCAGCUGCUCAACAGGAGAAAACAAGCCCAGGAGAACUAAACACUGAAGACAACAAGCACAGUAAUCAUCCUCUACUCGACACAGCAUCAGCUGAAAUUAAAAAGUACCUACAUGAUCUCAUAGAGGAAUUUAAAGCUGUACUCCUGAUCCAAGUAAGGCAAGAUAUAAAGAGAUUAAUUAAAGAAAUGACAAGCCCUGCCCAAGAGAACACAGAUGGAAGAACUGAGGAAAUCAGAAAAGAAAGAGAAGCAUCUGAAGAAGAAUUUAAGCAUAACUUAGAAUACAUGAAACAGAUCCAAAGAGAAUAUCAGGAAACUAAAAAUUCCAUUGAAUAUUGGCAAAAUGCCUUGACAGAAACUAAAGACAGCCUUCUGAAACUUGAAGAGAGAUUUAGGGCAUAUGAACGUGAAAGAAAAAGCCUCUUAAAAAUAACAAGGAACCAGAAAGAAGCAAUUCUAAAACUGGAAGAUGACAAGAAGAUACAUAACCUAAGAAUAAAGAAUGUGAGUGAGGAAGCAGGAACAUCCAAAAAUGAAAUACAAAAAAUAUUCACAGAUAUAUUAAAGCAAAAUUUCCCAUGUAUAGCAAAAAGAAAUGAUAUCCAGAUAAAAGAAGCAUACAGAACGCCAGCUACCUACAACCAAAACAGAUCUACGCCUAGACAUAUAAUAAUCGAGAUCCCAGAAAUCCACCAAAAAAACAGAAUAUUAAAAGCAGCCAGAGAAAAGAUGCAGGUUACCUAUAACGGAAAAUCUAUCAAAAUAACAGCAGACUUAUCAACGCAAACUCUUAAGUCAAGAAGGGAGUGGGGAGAAAUAUGCCAAGUCCUGAAGGAAAAAAAUAUGCAACCAAAGUUCAUAUAUCCGUCAAAACUCUCUCUAAAAA